UUUUAUUAUAUUUAAUAUAAAUAGUAACAUUAGAAAAACACACACAACACACACAAGUGCCCUAAUUUCACUCGUAUAUCGCAGCCACCGUAGCCCAAAAUCAGAGCCAACCAUUUUCUUUCUCUUCAAAUUGUCUCCUCAUCAACUCAAAUCAUUGUUCUUCGCUACCGUCGCAGCUCUUUUCAUCAUCAUCGUCAUCGUCAGUUGCCGUAUUUCGAGGGAAGACGCACCUUCAUCAGCUUGUGGAGAAAACAGCACUGAUACGGAAAUUAAACUGAUUUGCGAAAUUGCCAGCAAAACUACUCAGACUGGGAAAAAAAUGAAAGAGUUAUACUUUCUUCCUCACGUGCUGUCUUAUGUGUUUCUCCUGCUGGAAAACUUUUCCUACUUCAAAAGCUUUUGCAAUUACUCAUUUUUCCGACUUUUUUUUUCUUUUUGGAUGGCAUUUUUUUGACUUCGAAUAAGUAUGUGAUUGACCAACAUGAUGGAUUUUUAAUUUUAUGAGUCUGUAUAUCACGUUAAUCCUUAAAUUUUCUGGUUCAUGUGAUGGGAUAAAUUUUUUUUUUUUCAGACUGCUCUUAUUGAUCCGGGUUCAAAACCCGGAAUCCGGAAACCCGGAUUUUUCCGGGUUUAACCCGGACCGGACCCGGAUGCAAGAAAAGCGGGUUAACAUCCGGGUCCGGUAUAAUGAAAAUGGCAUCCGGGUCCGGAACCGGGAAGGCCAAACCCGGACCCGGACCCGGCUUUUGCCAUCCCUGGCUUCCACCAAUCGUUUCGUUUCCACAUUAAAUCUCAUCGACUAACAUUAAAAAUUAAAACAAAACAAAAUGCAAAAUUUAAAAGAAAAAAAAAAAAAGUAGACGAUGAUUAUUUAGAGCAUUAUUAUUAGUUGUGCGCAACAAAAAAGCCGGGAAUUACAUAUGACUCCCUUGAUAUUCUUCGUGUUGUUUCUGUUUGUGAUCUAUCUUUCAAGCUUCCAAUUCAGUUUUACAGCUGCAGCUGACCCAACAUACGUUUAUCAUUUCUGUUCAGACACGGCAAAUUUCACCAGAAACAGCACCUUUGAAUCAAACCUCAAUCGUCUCCUCACUUCUCUUCCCACUAACGCCAGCCGUGGGAAUGGAUUCUCCAGGGGUUUCUUCAACGCCACCGCUGGCCAAGACCCAAACAGGGUCUACAGCCUCUUUCUCUGCCGCGGUGAUCAAACCACCGACAUCUGCCAAAACUGUGUCACUUUUGCUACCAGAGAUGUAAUUCGGCUUUGCCCAGUUAGCAAAGACCCCAUAGUAUGGUACGAUGAGUGCCUUUUACGUUACUCAAAUAAGUAUAUUUUUUCUACCAUCGAGACGACGCGCACUGUCUAUUUGUGGAAUACUCAAAACGCAACAGACCCUGUCAAGUUUAACGAUCUAGUGGGGUCUUUGAUGAGUGAAGCUGCAUCCCAGGCAGUGAAUGAUCCCAAAAAUUUCGCUACAAAAAUGGCAAAUUUCACAUCCUUUCAAAACCUUUACGCACUUGCACAGUGUACACAAGACCUGUCAAGUUCUGAUUGUAACAAAUGUCUUCGAGGAGCGAUUGCCCAGUUGCCGACUUGUUGUGGUGGAAAGCAAGGAGGACGAGUGUUGACUCCGAGUUGCAUUGUCCGGUAUGAACUGUACCCCUUUUACAAUGAACCAGCGACACCGGCACCGGCACCUACUCCAGUUCUUCUUUCUCCUCCACCUCCUAGUUCGGUGAUCAGGCCUCGUGGUAAAGUUCAACCCACAUUCUAACACCAUUUCUUUCAUUAUUUUAAGCUAUGCUUUUUCGUUUGCUUUUGACUUUUCAGGGAUCGAAGAUAUUGAUACGUAUAUAGUUUUAUAAUUCCAAGGGAAACGCACCAGAAAAAUUUUAUAUAUUUGGUGUUGGACUUUUGUUUAUUCUAUUGAAAUUUCGGCUAAGAAGUAACCCAACACUUAUAAACUAGCCUUAUCUCUAAACUGACACUUUUUAAAAGUUGGAUUUACAUUGAUUUUGUAAUCAAAGUGUCUGAUGACUUUAACCAUUAAAAACAAUGUUCGAUUUGGAUGUUUAAUUAUUCAAUUUGAUAUUUCACGGUCAUGAAUUUCUAGUAUGCCCAAUGAAACAUAUUGCUUUUUCCUGCAGGGAAAAGCGGAAUCUCAUCAUCAACAAUUAUUGCCAUCGUGGCUCCAAUUGCUGUCGCAGCAGUGCUUUUUGUUGCGUGCUUAUGCUUCCUAAGAAGGAGAGCAAAAAAGAAAUAUAAUGCUGUGCCGGAAGAAAAUGGUAAGCACGAGAGCUACAUUAUUACUAAAUCAGACAAUUUUUUAACAAGAGCAUGUACACAUACAAAUUGUUGCUACUUUUUUGAAGAGUAAAUAAAUUACUGUUUUGUGCAGCUGAUAACGAUCUUACAAUUCUAGAAUCCUUGCAAUUUGAUUUCGAGACAAUUGAAGUUGCCACAAACAAAUUCUCAACUGAUAACAAGUUGGGUGAAGGUGGAUUUGGUGAGGUUUAUAAGGUAUACCAUUGAUUAUCAUGACAUCUCUGGAAAUUUUUACCAGUUGCAAGAGGUUACACAAUACAAAUUUUGUAAUUGUUGAUUAAUGUAUAUUGGCAGGGUGUGCUUCCUAGUGGACAAGAAAUAGCCGUGAAAAGGCUAUCAGCAAGCUCAGGACAAGGUGCACAAGAAUUUAAGAAUGAGGUCGUUUUGGUUGCCAAGCUUCAACACAGAAAUUUGGUUAGGCUACUGGGAUUUUGCUUGGAGGGAGAAGAAAAGAUACUUGUCUACGAAUUUGUGCCAAACAAAAGCCUUGACUAUUUUCUUUAUGGUUAGGAUGAUUCACAUAAAUUUCAAUGUCUUAAAAGAGUUGAAUAUUCAAGACUUUUGAAUAGAUUGUUCGAGUUUUUAUCCGUCUUUUCAAGAUUGAUAGAAUUUCUGGAUUGCAUUUAAAUUCAAUUUCCGAAUUUCAAUUUGAAAUAUUGAUUUUGAUAUCUGCACAGACCCUGAAAAACAAGGACAAUUGGAUUGGUCAAGGCGCUACAAGAUAAUUGGAGGGAUUGCUCGAGGAAUUCUUUACCUUCACGAAGAUUCUCGACUCAGAAUUAUACAUCGUGACUUGAAAGCUAGCAAUAUACUCUUAGAUGCAGAGAUGAAUCCAAAAAUUUCAGAUUUUGGCAUGGCAAGAAUAUUUGGAGUUGAUCAAACUCAAGGAAAUACUAGCAGAAUAGCGGGGACAUUGUAAGUAUAGACAACUAUUACCCUUUUUCACAUACUCUCCUUUUGAUUAGUUUACAAUUUAUGCAUUACAUCCUCUAGCAGAACCAUUUAGUCUGGAUUAAAAAUAAAUUGUAUAGAGUUAUUUGAAUAAUUUCAAAAGAUUUGUUGUUGUCUUUAGAUUGACUUAGUUGCUGGUUUACAGUGGUUACAUGGCCCCAGAAUAUGCUAUGCAUGGGCAAUUUUCUGUGAAAUCAGAUGUAUAUGGUUUUGGUGUCCUAGUCCUGGAGAUUAUAACUGGCAAGAAGAACAGCAGCUUUUAUCAAACAGAUGGUGCUAGAGAUCUUUUGAGCUAUGUAAGCAUUUGCCUUUAUUAGUGCCUAUAUCAUGGCGCAAAAGUAAAAGCACUAAAGAAGAGGUAGAAACUGCAACCUUUUUUAAUAUACUUGAUGUACUGUUUGCAGGCUUGGAAACAAUGGAGGGAUGGAACACCUUUGCAGUUGUUGGAUCCAAAUCUGACAGAUUCUCACUCAAGAAAUGAAGUGAUUAGAUGCAUCCAAUUGGGCUUAUUAUGUGUCCAGGAAGAUCCAGCUGAGAGGCCAUCAAUGGCAACAAUAGUUCUCAUGCUCAAUAGUUACUCUGUCACACUUCCGUCGCCUCAACAGCCUGCAUUUUUCAUAGGCAGUCGAACUGAGAGGAGCUUGCCCACAAAAGAAUUUGAGUUCUCUGAUAAAUCUACAAACAAGUCGAUGCCAUGGUCUGUUGAUGAAGCAUCAAUUACUGAAGUAUACCCCCGUUAACCAGUAAGAAUAGUUGACGAUGCUUCUUCUUUAUGUUCGUAUAUGGUCUACCCACCGGGAGUGCUGGUACAUUACGGGGGAGAAUGACAUGGUUUAUGGCAAGCAAUAAUGAUAAAGAGGAGGUGCCCUUCAAAUUGAAUGGCGCCGCGUUACAUUUUCCAAAGUUUUUAUUUGUUGAAGUAUAUGAUUAUUGUAUGGAUGAGUAAUGAUGCAACGUUGGGAAAUCAAAUAUUCCAUUACGGUAUCGUUUGCGUUUAGUGUCGUCCGGUUAGUGUUUGCUGGGUCCGGACUCCGGAGGCCAAUUUUCCAUUACGAUGUAGUUUGUGUAAGAAUCCAGUUCUGUCUGAGUCUUUAAUUUUUUUUUCCCCUGAAAAUUGUCUCAAUCUAUUUAAUUUGGUGAAAUUUUCGACAAAAUUUGACUGAGAUUUUCCGUCUUUCGUGCUUGGCUUCACUUUUGUUGACUUCGGGUAGACGAGUCUCCUCUGCGAUAAUCAACUUUUGCAUCUUCACCACGCGUCUCAACUUUCAAACAAAGUUGUUUGAUCAACCUCAUCGCCAUUCACCAACAAUAAUACUUAAUAAAACAACAGAGAAAUUAAAAGCAAUAAAAAAUAAAAAUAAAAAGAGGAAGAUAGACGAUCAUCACAUAUGUAGAUCCGUAGUACUAAGAACUAUUUAUUAUAUUCAUUCCCGGGUGAGGUCAGCCUGAGGCUGAGAGCGAGAAUCCAAAUGCGCUCCUUCAAAUUAUUCAUUUUCUUUCGGUUUCUGUCUUUUGUAAGCAUUUUUCUCAGAUUCACAACUGCAGCUGACCCAGAAUACCUCGCUCAUAAUUGCCCAAAUACAACAACUUUCAGCAGGAACAGCACUUCUCAAUCCAACCUUUUCUUCUUGUAAUGCUAACUGAGUUAUACCAGACUCUUGAACAAGAACUAAGUAACUCACCAACCCAGAAUUAACAAAAACAAGACCAGAAAAGGAAGCAAAGAAACACAAAGCAAACCAAGAACUACCAACACACCAAGAAACUAACGUGGUUCAGCUCCACAAAGGAACCUACAUCCACGGCUGAAAAUGCCAGCUAGGGCUGAAGCUUUAUUGAACAAAAAUGGCCGAUUACAAUGACUCUCAACAAUACAGAUUGAAACUCUCUAAGCUUAGUGUUUCCUCUCUCUGUAACGCAUUCUUUUGUAUAUCCUCUCUUCUGGCUUCAGAGAAGCUUAUAUGCUCUGCUUUUCACACGUGUGUAUCCUCUUAACGAAACCAAGCUGUAACAACUUAACAGCUUAUUCUUUUUGGAUCCCACUAACGCCAGCUCAUCAGCCACCUCAGCAAGCUCAAUAACAGAAUAUAUCUAAUCUUUGGCUUCACACUUCUCUUCUCUGCCCACUAACGCCAGCCGCAGCAACGGAUUCUUCAGCCGUUUCUACAACGCCACAGCAGGCCAAGACUCUGACACAGUCUACGGCCUCUUCCUCUGCCGUGGCGAUCUUGGCAGCAGCGCCUGCCAAGACUGUCUCACUUUUGCUGCCAGAAAUGUUAAUAUCAAAAUUUCCUUCUUCCUUAUGUUGCAAAGUCCCUUCGUCAAAUCUCAACUCUUCUAACAUAUAAUCCCUUUUUGUUUUGUUUUGUACAAUUUCAUUCAUAUACUAUGACAAAUCGAUAAAUUUGCCACCAAAUUUAUAUCGAAAGUUCAAUUUGAUACCAAAGAAUUUUGAUAAUAGCUCUCUGUACCACCGAACCUUUUUUUUAUGUUAACAUCGAUGGGCAAACGUUGAUGUUGCAGGGGCAAUUUCGGUAUUUCAAAAUUUGGUUUCAUCUGGUAAAAAGCGACGCCUGUUUAUAAAAAAAAAGGGCCAAUGAUGGUUUGAUAUAAAAUGAAAAAGUUGAGUGCUACAGAGAAAUUGAUAAUUUCCUAAUCAGAAAAUACAAAUGUAAUUACUAUUAUUAAAUUUAACAUUGUAGUUGAUAUGUAUUUUGAGAAACAAACUUCAUUCUAAUUGUUCUUUUAAUAUUCAUAUCCAUAUCGAUAAAGAAAAAACUAUAUCUAUAUCAAUUUUAAUAAAUGUUAAAAGAACAGUUAAGAUGGAAUUAGUUCCUUAAAAUAAUUAUUUUUUUGAAAUUUAAUUGUAAUUGAUAUGUAUUUAUUAAAAUUGGUUUAAAUAUAAUUGUUAAAAGAACAAUUAAGAUGAAUUUUUUUAAAUAAAAAAUAAAAAAUUUCAGAAUUUUUAAAAUUAAUAAUAUUAAAAUUUAGCAGCGGAUCAAUGGGUGACACAUGUCUGCCCCCUAUUGAAUGUUAAAUUAACUUUAAUAAAUUAUAUUCAUAUUUAAAGACUUUAAUUAAUAACUUAAAUAAAAUUAUAUGAAAACUUAAUCGUAUAAUUUCAUAUUGGGCGUUGUAGGGGCAAUUUCAUAUAUAACUAUUUUUGUUACUUUUGUUUUUUCCAUUUAAGUGGAUAAAUCGUCCUUAUAUAUAUUUAAAUAAUUCUUAUGAUAAACCUGUCCUGUGUAAAGUAUAUGUAAACUAUUUUAUCACUUUUUAAGUGGUAAUUUGAUAUAACAAUUUGAGUGUUGGAGUACGUUUUUGUAGGUAUCCCGUCAUCAUUAAAGCUUAUCCAAUGAGGAAAGAAGAUAAUUUUUUGUUGCGAAGGAAAAAGUCCAAUGAGGAAAGAAGAUAAUUUCACAAAUGCAUUUUCAAAUUUAUCAAAAGCUAAUCAUUCAUAUAUAUAUAUUCUAAAGCAAAUAAAACAAAUCAUUUGAAAAUAUCAAAGACAUGCUUAAUAUUUUGGAGCAGGUAAUUAUUGAAAUUGGAAGAGAGAGUGAUUCUGGGGUUUUCAUCCGCCUCUCCAUAGGUGAAAAUCGCGCAACUCAAAUGUUUAUUUGUCCUUCAAACUAAUUUCACAAUGGCUCUUGUGAUAUGACAAGUGGCGUUCAAAUAGCCGUACUCUUUCAGUUUGCAAGUGUACCCAUCAUUCAAGCCCAGCCCAGCCCAGCCCAUUUGCACCCAACAUAAUGGGCUGCUUAUGAAAUACUCUCCUAUAAUUCUGUCGAAGUAUAUAUGGAACCCCAUCAUUGGUUUCUGAACCUCGUUUCCUGCAAAAAUCAAUUACGCAAAUAAUGCCGUUGAAAUAGUAACAAUAAACUUUUCAAAGAAUGUACACGGGAAUCGGACUAGAUCAUGACAUUGUAGUGAAACAUGCGAUUUCGCUAAUUGGCCUCAAGAAGGUACGAAACGAUGACUUUUAAACUCUUCAAUUUGAAGAAUUUUCAAAUGAUAUUUGAAAGGUAUAAUAUUUAAUUAAUACAUAUAUAACAUGUAUAAUUUACUUCAAGUUAAGGAAGUCGUGUUCAUGCCCAACCUAGUUUUGAUCCAUCAGCAUUUUACGAUAAUUAAAGGACAAAAUACUCCCUGGAAAAUAUAUUCAUAAUUGACAGCUAACAUGUAUCUCUGACGUCACGAAUCGACUUCUGUCUUAAUCACUUUAAUUUUUUUUUUUUUUUCCCCUUCAUCUAACUUUCCACAAAUUCUUCAAUCACAAAAAAAUAAAAAUUCCAAAAUUUCAUUUGACUGAGGUUUUGCGACUGGUUUUUUCUCCGGGUGAUUGGAAGCAAACAAGUAAUUAAUUGGGACGGGACGAGCUUGACUUCACUUUGUUGACUUUGUGCAGACAAGUCCCGUUUCCCGACGCAACCUUUGCAGUUUCCACCACUCGUUUCUUCAUUAUAUUUGAUAAAAUCUGGUACCUAACAUUAAUAAAACAAAAGAUAGAAAAAAAAAUACAAGAAAAAGGAAGAAGGGAUAGAGGAUUGUAUUUGUAAUCCACAGUACGCAACAAAAACCUGGGAUUCCAAAUGCCGCCCUUGAAAUUCUUCAUGGUCUUUCCGUUUCUCAUAUAUCUUUUAAGCUCCCAGUUCAGUUUUACAGCUGCAGUUGACCCGGAAUACGUUUAUCAUUUUUGCUCAACAACAGCAAAUUUCACCAGAAACAGCACCUAUGAAAAAAACCUCAAUCUUCUCCUCUCUUCUAUUCCGACUAACGCCAGCCGUGGAAAUGGAUUCUCCAGCGGAUUUUUCAACGCUACAGCUGGUCAAGACCCAAACAGGGUCUACGGUCUCUUUCUCUGCCGCGGGGAUCAAACCACCACCGGUUGUCAAGACUGUGCCACCUACGCUGCAAGAAAUGUACUUCAGCUUUGCCCAGUCAGCAAAGAAACAAUACUAUGGUACGCUGAGUGCCUUUUACGUUACUCGGAUCAGUCUAUCUUUUCUACCAUGGCCACAGCUCCCACUGUCUCUUUGUUGAAUACACAAAAUGUUACGGACCAAGGCAGGUUGAACGAGCUAGUGGGGACUCAGAUGAGCCAAGUUGUAACUCAGGCUGUGAAUAAUACCAAAAGGUUUGCAACGAGAAAAGCAAAUUUCACAACCUUUCAAACACUCUACAGUCUUGCGCAAUGUACACCGGACCUGUCAAGUUCGGAUUGUAACGCAUGUCUUCGAGGAGCUGUGGCACGGUUGCCAAGUUGUUGCAGUGGAAAGCAAGGAGGAAGAGUGUUGUUUCCGAGUUGUAACGUACGGUAUGAAUUGUACCCUUUUUACAAUGAACCAGCCACAGCGCCGCCAGCACCUGCUCCGGUUCUUCUUUCUCCUCCACCUCCUGGUUCGGUAACGACGUCUCGAGGUAAAUGUGAACCCACUUUUUAUUGCCAUUUUCAUUAUUUUAAGUUAUAUAUGCUUUAUCGUUUUCUUUUGAGGGGUCUGUCAAUGAUAUAUCUGUAAGUUAUGAUUUUAAGUGAAACGCAACGAGAUUUUAGGCUCCUUUUGGUAUUAAGCUAGAGCUAAAGUGUUUGAUGAGUACUUCAAGUGAUGAUUUUGAAGUCAAGUUAGUUUUAUCCUACUAUAUUAUUUAAAAUUUAUAUAUAUUACUACACUUUUGAUUUUUAUUUUAUAACUAUAAAUUUUUGUCUACAUAUAUGUGAUUGAUGAUUUUAACCAUUUAAAACAAUGUUGGUUCUGGAUAUUUAACAUUCAAUAUGAUAUUUUACAUUGAUGAAUUUCUAGUAUGCCUAAUGAAACAUAUUGUUUUUUUCCUGCAGGGAAAAGUGGAAUCUCAUCAUCAACAAUUAUCGCCAUUGUUGCUCCAAUUGCUGUCACUGCAGUGCUUUUUAUUUUGGGCUUCUGCUUCCUACGAAGGAAAGCAAAAAAGAAGUAUAAUGCUGUACCGGAAAGUAAUGGUAAGCACGAGAGCUUCUUUAUUACUAAAUCAAACAGUCUUUUAACAAGAGUAUGUAUGCAUACAAUUGUUGUAACCUUUUUUCGAAGACUGAAUUAAUUACUUUUUGUUUGUGCAGCUGAUAACGAUCUUACAACUCUAGAAUCCUUGCAAUUUGAUUUCGAGACAAUUGAAGUUGCCACAAACAAAUUCUCAACUGAUAACAAGUUGGGUGAAGGUGGAUUUGGUGAGGUUUAUAAGGUAUACCAUUCAUUAUCAUGACAUCUCUGAAAGUUUUUAGCAGUUGCAGGACACAUUACAAAUUUUCUAAUUGUUGAUUAAUGUACAUUUGCAGGGUGUACUUCCUAGUGGACAAGAAAUAGCUGUGAAAAGGCUAUCAAAAAGCUCAGGACAGGGUGCAGAAGAAUUUAAGAAUGAGGUUGUUUUGGUUGCCAAGCUUCAACACAGAAAUCUGGUUAGGCUGCUGGGAUUUUGCUUGGAGGGCGAAGAAAAGAUACUUAUCUACGAAUUUGUGCCAAACAAAAGCCUUGACUAUUUUCUUUAUGGUUAGGAUCAUUUACAUAAAUUUCAAUGUCUUAAGAGAGUUGAAUAUUCAAGAUUUUUUAAUAGAUUAUUCUAGUUUUUAUCCUUCUUUUCAAGACAGACAGAAUUUCUAGAUUGCAUUUAUAUUCAAUUUCCAAUUUUCAAUUUGAAGUAUUGAUUUUGAUAUGUGCACAGACCCUGAAAAACAAGGACAAUUGGAUUGGUCAAGACGUUACAAGAUAAUUGGAGGGAUUGCUCGAGGAAUUCUUUACCUUCAUGAAGAUUCUCGGCUCAGAAUUAUACAUCGUGACUUGAAAGCUAGUAAUAUACUCUUAGAUGCAGAGAUGAAUCCGAAAAUUUCAGAUUUUGGCAUGGCAAGGAUAUUUGGAGUUGAUCAAACCCAAGGAAAUACUAGCAGAAUAGUUGGGACAUAGUAAGUAUUGGCAACUAUUACCCUUUGUACAUAGUCUCCAUUUGGUUAGUUUACAAUUUAUGCAUUACAUCCCCUGGCAGAACCAUUUAGUGUGGAUUAUAAAUAAACUGCAUAGAGUUUUUUGAAUAAUUUCAAAAGCUUCGUUGUUGUCUUUCAUUGACUUAGUUGUUGGUUUACAGUGGUUACAUGGCCCCAGAAUAUGCUAUGCAUGGGCAAUUUUCUGUGAAAUCAGAUGUAUAUAGUUUUGGUGUCCUAGUUUUGGAGAUUAUAACUGGCAAGAAGAACAGCAACUUUUAUCAAACAGAUGGUGCUGCAGAUCUUUUGAGUUAUGUAAGUGCAGAUCUUUUGAGUUAUGUAAGCAUAAAUGUGAUAAUAUAUUGAAAUUUUUCCCCUUUGUUAGUGCCUAUAUCAUCACACACAAGUAAAAGCACUAAAGAAGAGGUAGAAACUGCGACCUUUUUUAAUAUACUUGAUAUACUGUUUGCAGGCUUGGAAACAAUGGAGGGAUGGAACUCCUUUGCAGUUGUUGGAUACAAAUCUGACAGAUUCUUACUCAAGAAAUGAAGUGAUUAGAUGCAUCCAAUUGGGCUUAUUAUGCGUCCAGGAAGAUCCAGCUGAGAGGCCAUCAAUGGCAACAAUAGUUCUCAUGCUCAAUAGUUACUCUGUCACACUUCCGUUGCCUCAACAGCCUGCAUUUUUCAUAGGCAGUCGAACUGAGAGGGGCUUGCCCACAAAAGAAUUUGAGUGCUCUGAUAAAUCUACAAGCAAGUCGAUUCCAUGGUCUGUUGAUGAAGCGUCAAUUACUGAAGUAUACCCCCGUUAACUUGUAAGAACUGUUAAUGAUGCUUCUUCUUUAUGUUAGUAUAUGAUCUACCGAGGGGCAGUGCUGGUACGGUAUGGGGGAGAAUGACAUGGUUUAUGACAAGCAAUAAUGAAAAAGAGGAGGUGCCCUUCGAAUUGAAUUAUGCCGCGUUGCUUUAUCCAAAGUUUUUGUUCGUUGAAGUAUAUGAAUAUUGUAUGUGUGAGUAAUGAUACAACGUUGGGAUAUCAAAUUUUCCAUUACCAUGUAGUUUUUGUUCUAUGUCGUCUCGUUAGUGUCUGCUGGGUAGGGAGCCCAAAGUUCAGUGAAGUUAUUCAAAGUGAUAAAAUGGCUUGGCCAGUAUUGAUAUAACAUCUUCAUGGUUUUAAUUUAAAUUUUUCUUUGGGUCUUGUGCUAUGUUUUUACCUUUAACAUGCUUACGAUUUCGUUGCAACCACCACAUGUGGGGAUAUCAAGAUUAGCUUUGCUGUGCAUUCGAUCUGAAACAUUAUUUUAAGAGUUGCAUAAGCAGGUAUUCCAUGCCAUAUUUUUCUUCAUUAGUUUGUGAGUGAGUUCUUUCUAUGUGCAUUCAGUGAAAUAAAAGCCGAAAAAACACUAAUCAUUUCAGUGGUUGCAAAAUAACUAAUAAGAUUGACAAAAGUUGUUAUACCCAACCUAUUUUAAUCUAUUAAUAAUAUUACACAAUAAUUAAAGGACGAAAUACUCUGGAAAAUAUCUUCAAAAUUUAAAAAAUUCCAAAUAGCCAUCGAAUUAGCCUAACUCCCACGCAUGUACUGUUGUUUAACCUAUUUUCUGUCUCAAUCUAUUUAAUGUCGUUUUUCCUCAAGUGUUGAUAUUGAGUCCCACUUUGUCGACCCAUUUUCCUGCAAACGGUAAUUUGCCUGUCGUUUUUACUUCUGUCAUUAACUCAUUUUAAAAUACAUUCACUCGAGUGUUGAUAUUGAGUCCCACUUUGUCGACCCAUUUUCCUGCAAACGGUAAUUUGCCUGUCGUUUUUACUUCUGUCAUUAACUCAUUUUAAAAUACAUUCACUCGAGUGCUGAUAUUGAGUCCCACUUUGUUGACCCAUUUUCCUGCAAACGGUGAUUUGUCUGUCUUUUUUACUUCUGUCAUUAACUCCUUUUAAAAUACAUUCACUCGAGUGUUGAUAUUGAGUCCCAUUUUGUUGACCCAUUUUCCUACAAACGGUAAUUUGCCUGUCAUUUUUACUUCUGUCAUUAACUCAUUUUAAAAUACAUUCACACGUAAAUUUAAAAUCAAAGUCGUUGUUUGAUUAAUGGCAUGGUAGUCAUGAACCCUUCGGUAUCGGGUGGUCUCUGGUCAUACUUUGCAACUUUUGGGAUCAAUUACAAUUAUACUGACAAGACUUAAUUACAAUCAACAUAAAGGAGUGUAACAUGGGGUCAAAAUCAUGAAAAUUAUUUUGGCACUUAGCUUCAAUUACCUAAAAUAACGUAUGGGACAAGAUUUACAUUGAUUUGAUGAUAUAAUCUUUAAACUACUCUUGUUAUAUACAAAGUUGUGAUGUUAUGUUAAUUUGAUAAGAAUAUAUAUGUAAUUAAUUCUUAAUUCUCUUCUAUAAGUAAUUAACAAUACGCAAUGAGACAAAAUCUUUAAAAGAUUAGCAUCGAUCUAAAUUCAUCUCAUACAAUAAAUAUCAUAGUACAAACUUGCUUAAAGAUAAAGCCACUGUCCCAGAAAGUUAGCGAGGGUCUAGCUCACUAACUGUAACUUCAUUGACUGUAAAAUGGAUGGAACCGCUUUUAGAUUGAUCAGAUGCGGUGAAUUCCAAAUUAUCCUGCUCCAUUGUAGUGCGCAUAAAAAAUGCAGGCUGCGAAGGUAGUGGCAGGGAGAGAGAGCUGCUAUUAAGCAUGACAACAACCGAAGCCAUUGUUGGUCUAUUUGCAACAUUUUCUUGAACACAUAGCAAUCCGAUGUGGAUGCAUCUCAUUAUUUCACUACUGGAACCAUUCCUCAAUGUGGGAUCUAUCAUAUUUAAAGCUGUUCCUUCGUUCCAAUUUUUCCAUGCCUACAAAAAAAUACAACGGCGUUAAAUGUUUUGUUUGAUCUCUUAACAUUUCAGACCUUAGUAUAGUAUAUGAAGAUUAUUACUUACGUAGGUCAGUAAGUCCUCUGCCUCCUCUCCAAUACGGAAACUAUUAUUCUUUUGACCACUGAUGAUUUCCAGGACUAACACACCAAAGCUAAAAACAUCAGAUUUAAUGGAGAAGUGCCCUCGCGUUACAUAUUCUGGAGCCAUGUAGCCACUGAAAAAAAGAAAAAGUUGUCAAUAUAAUUUUAGACUUCAAACAUAAAAUGAACAAUCUGAAGUUCAUCUCCGUAUACUUACAAUGUCCCGACAAUUCUACUUGUAUCGCCUUGACUUUGAUCCAUUUCAAACAACCUUGCCAUUCCAAAGUCUGAAAUUUUUGGAAUCAUGUCUGCAUCUAAAAGAAUAUUACUUGCUUUGAGGUCACGAUGAAUGAUCCGUAACCUUGAAUCUUCGUGAAGGUAAAGAAUUCCUCGAGCUAUGCCCCCAAUGAUUUUGUAUCGGGUUUCCCAAUCUAGUUGCACGCGCUUGAUUGCAUCUACCAAUUUACAAAAGCCACAAAACUUAUAAUUUUGGUCGCAAAAAGGUAAUAAACAACAAGCUACAGGAGAUAUUACACAAACAAGAAUAGCAACAUUUGAUGCAUUGAAAAUUUGCAUCGAUGUCAAGAGAAUUUAAUUAUGUAUAGAUGCUAUCAAUUUCAGUGUAGAUUAAUAGAGUCCUUCAUGACAUCUGCUUUAACGAGAUCAUUUUAAUUAUUUAGACAAGCAUCUAAAUAACAAAGUGCAAUAUGAGUGAAUUAGGAUAACUGGAAUAAUAUCUUUAAAAGCUUAAAAGGAAACGUGCAACCAUUACCAAAUAUAAAUUUAUCUACGCUUGAAUUAGGCACAAACUCAUAGAUGAGAAGCCUUUCGGUUCCUUCAAAGGAGAAACCUAGAAGCCUAACCAAAUUUCUAUGUUGAAGCCUGGCCACCAAUAGGACCUCGUUUUUAAAUUCUAGUUCUCCUUGAACCGAAUUUUUAGACAGCCUCUUUACUGCUAUUUCCUGUCCGUGUGAAAGCCUUCCCUGAAAUCAUUUUACCAAAAAAAAAAACACAGGGUAAGUGCCAAAUGAUUUGCACUAACGAUCAGCAUUAUUUUCGACGUUCAUGUAAUGGUUCAAGUACCUUGUAAACAGCACCAAAUCCACCUUGUCCAAGCUUAUUAUCUGUGGAGAAGUUAUUUGUUGCAUCUCUGAUGGUGCUGAAGUCAAAUUGCAAGGAUUCCGCAGUAUUGAUUUCAUCAGCUUCAGAAUAACGAUAAGUUAGCAUAUAGAUUUGUAUAAAAUUAAUAAAAAAAAUUUUAAAACAAAAAAAUCCUUGUCAAAGAAGAUUGGUUUCUUUGUUUCGGCGGAAGUCGUUUUAUUGGUUGUAGCACAUGUAAAAUUUAACCUUUUAAUAACAGGGGAAAAAGCACAUAAUUAACUAACCUUUUGUGAGAUCCUGCUUCUGCUUCCUCCUUCGUAGAAAGACACAAGUGAUCAAAGCAACAAGUGCAAUGAUGAAAAUACUCGUAGAAACAACAAUGAUUAUGACAGUUCCAGAUGAAAUGCUAUUGCCUCCUUUGUCUGCAAAAAUAAAUCAUAGAGAUAUGCGCGAAUGUUAACUCGUGUUGAGAUUGGAUAUUAGUGAAAUACUAACAGUGGCGGUGGGCGUGAAAAUACCUUUGGUGGUUGUCGUAUCAGUAGUAGUACUGGGUGGACUCAGAGGAGAUGGCGAUAAAGAAUCGGCAGUAGCUCCAUAGAAUGGAUACAUUUCCCAGCGAAAUAUACAGCUGGGUCCCAAAACAUAACUUCCUUUUUUCCCAUAACAGCAACUCUGCAAAUCAGCCAUACUUUGACGUAGACAAAAUUCACAGUCACUCUGGGAUAUAUCUGGAGUGCACUGCAUUAGUGCAUAAAUCGUUUCAGAGCUUGUCAAAUUUGCCUCUUCAGUUGCAAAUUUGGGCUUCGAAUUGCCCGAAGAAGCUUUUGCCAGUACGCGAUCCAUUAAACUCCUCCAGAUCCGAUCAAACUGUUUCAAACUUGAAGUGAUGUUAUUUAUAUUAUGGUUGAAUUCUGUAGGUUUCAGCUCUAGUUUUCCAAAGAAAGAGCGGUUUGAAUAGCGUACAACGCAUGGAAAAUCCAUUCCUCCCCAUGAAAUUGCUUCUUUUUGGUUCGGACAGUUCUUCAUCAUAUCACGAACUGUGAAAUUAAGGCAGCUGGCACAUGCUUCUGGAGUAGAAUCUCCUCUGCAGAGUGCAAGACCAUAAACUUCGUCGGGAAUUUGGCCAAUGGUGGAAGUGUAGAAACCCUUGUUCGCGGUUACGUUAGAAGCAAGAAAUGAGAGAAACAGUUCCCGAUUCUUACCGUAGGUACUAUUAGUGGUGAAGUUUCCUGUGUCGUAACAUGUCUGGCCGGAGGUAAGACGAAUGAUACUCAGAAGCAUGUAAGAAACGAAACCAAGCAAAAUUUUAAAACCCAUUAUAUAUCUAAAGUAAACUAGUUGAAGAGCAAUGAGAGAUCAGCGACCAAUAUACGGUUUAGAGCAAAUAGAGCUAGUGCAGUUGCUUUGCCGGAAGGGCUUUUAUUGCUUCCACAAAUACAUUAGCCAUAUUAAUGUACAGCUAGUGUAGUUGCUUUGCCGGAAGGGCUUUUAUUGCUUCCACCAAUACAUUAGCCAUAUUAACAUCUAAUUGAGCAGGACAUAUCCCUUUUGCGGGGCAAUAACUUUUUAAUGUAUCCAAUCACGAUUCAAAAAGGCAGUCCCCUCGUGUCUGCCUUCAGUUCCACGUAAGAUUUUCUCUUACAAUCGAGAGGUUGACUUCAUUUCCACGUGAGAGUCUUUGAAAGUUGGUUCCAAAGAGACGGCAGGCGGCUUCACUAUAUGCUUGGACUAGUCUUCUCAGUUAAAAGAGCGCUUACAUUUUGGAUAGAAAUAGAAAUUUUGAGAAGUGAGAAUCAUGAAAUUAGGAGUGUGAAGUGGGAAUAAGAGUGUGUUAUUUACUUACACUAAAAUUAAAGUAUGAAAUUAAAACUAAAAUCUAAUUUAUGUGUUUACAUUGUCUUGAAUUGGAAGUAAAUGAUUUUAAAUUACAGUUUUACUCUUAUUUAAAGAAUUAUUGUUUUUAAUUAUAAAAUUAAUAUAAAAUAUAUUUGAAAUAUAAAAUAUUUACUUUAUUAUAUUUGUAAAUUAAUAAUAAUUAUUAACAUUCUUAAUGAUGUAAAUCACAAUUUUUUAUUAAUUUAAAUUUAAAUUAUGUAAAUAAAAAAUUAUUAAUAAGAGCAACACAAAUGAAACAUUAUUAUUAAUAAUAUAGUACAAAAUUAAUAUUUUCAUAGAAUAAAAUAUUUAUCAUUAUUAAUUAAUAAUAUUAAAUAAAUAUAAUACUAUUAUUUUUAAAUAAAUAUAAUAAUAUUAUAUUUAAAUAUGUUUAAUAUUAUUAUUUUUAAUAAAUGAAAUUUAUAAAAUAAUAUAAUAAUAAUAUUUAAAUAAAUAUGAUGUUAUUUAUUUUAUUUUAUUAAAUUUAAUAAAAUAAAUAUGUUUAAUAUUAUUAUUUUUAAUAAAUAUAAUUUAUAAAAUAAUAUAAUAAUAUCAUUUAAAUAAAUAUGAUAUUAUUUAUUUUAUUUUUUAAAUAUUAUAUUUUUUAAAAUAUUAUUUAUUUUAUUUUAUUAAAUAUAAGGGUAAAAAGAGAAGAGGGAGAAUAUAUUUCCACUCCCACUUCCCCCCAAAGAAGUGGGAAUCAUCAACUCCAAAAUUAGGUGGGAUCCAUGAGUGAGAUUCCCACUCUCCUCUUAAAAUUUGUAAGUAAACACUGAAGUGGGAGGAAUUUACACUUCUCACUCCCACUUUAAAAAGUAAACACUAUAUAAGCUUACCGAAAAAUAAAUUGAUUGAUUGUUGAUGCGAGUUAUCCACGCACGCCGCGUCUACUUGCGCAAGGUGCAUACGAGCUGUCGGCAAAUCCACAACGACUCUUGAAGCCUUGCCAACUUUUCUUUUCCAUCGCGCCAAUUGGCUAGUGUGUGAGAGUGAGGGUGGAAGGUCGAUCGUUAUCUGUAACUCGGUCGUGGACAGCGUUUUUCAAUGAGGAAUUUUCAGCGUGAAAAUCAUGAUUGCUCUUUUGCUCUUCUUUGUUCAAAAAUAUUGUAUGAUUAAACAAUAAAGUCAUGGUUUUGAAUUCGGAUAUUCAGAAUUGUAAAACAUAGUUCAUAAUUUUUCUGAAAUAAUUUUAAAACUUAAAGCAACAACAGCGCAUUCAUUGGGUUAUUCUAUUGAUUUUUUUUUUAAAAUGAUGAUUUUUGGAGAUGGGUUUGGAUUGUUGAAUUUUGGAGAUGGCUUCGGAAUGACCCACGACAUGGAUCAGGAUAAACUGAGAUAUGAUUUAAUUUGAUGUUUUCUAAUCAAAUCAAAACCAUGAUACUGUUUGGUUUCAAAUCAAGAAAUUCCAACUUUUGCUAUUUUAAAUAUUUUUAUUGAAGAUUGAUAUUUAAAACCAGACAUAUGACUUAAUUUUAGAGCGAAGUUAUUGGCACCCGUCCAUUAAUCUCUUAAAACUUCUUUUCUAAAAAUACACGAUCAAAUAAUUUAAAGUAUCAUGUUACUUCUAUUAAAACCUAAUCAAUUUCCACAUAUAAACCAACACCAACCCCCACCACCCCCACCCAAAAAAUCACUUUUGACCAAACCCCCAUCUGUCACUUUCUGUUGCUUGUUUCAGUUUUCAAAUCUCCAUUUCACGAAUAAAACAAAUUUAUCUCCAUGCUCAUUUUCUUUAGCAGCUGCGUUUGUUGAAAUUUGUCAAUUGCUCAAACUUCUCAUUUGAGCUUGAAAAUUUCGAAAAUCCAUAGCGACAACGAGGAAGCUCAAUAUAUUGUAGUGGCAUAAAUACGUGGGUGAUGUAAUAAGUAAACUGCAAUUUGCUGCAUUGAAUUCUAAACUUAAUUAUUAUAAAUUCGUCAGUACGUAAGUUCAAUAUUUUUUCUAACUUAUUGCAAUUAUUUCAUAGGCACAAACAAAUUCUUUUCAACUUCUUGAAAACUAACAACUCUAUCGGAUGUUGACGGCAAAUCCUGGCCAUCGUGGGAAAUAGUUUAGUGAAAAAAAAAUAAACUUCCUAGUAAUAUAAUUAAAAUAGUGACAUGACGAUUAGUUUUCAGAAACUACUCUGAAAAUAUUUUUCUUGUUUUUUGUUGAUUUCAAAACUUAUAAGUGGUAUAAUGGGUGCAAAAAGUUCACUGGAAUUAUAGAAUAAUUUGUACUUUAUUUUUACGUUGUCCUUUAGUGUAAUUUCAAUUAAGGGUAAAGUAUAAACAUAUAGUAGGGGUUUUAAUAGGAGAUUAGAGGGGCACUAAUACCUCUACUCCAAUUUUAAAGUAGAAGGACUGUUAAAGAAUGAUGCUUAAAAAUUACCGGAUUAAGUUUUUGGGCUAACCUAUACUAGUUAAAUUAUUACAUAACCCAAGUUUCUGUCCAUCAGUUAAGUUUAUGUUAUAUUGUAAGACUCGAGGAAUAAUUUUGACUAAUACAUUUUUUUUUUAAAGAAAGAAAAGCGAUAAAAUUUAAAUUAAUCUUUUAACAUUUUUCUUUUUCAAAAAUUUAAACUCGAAUAACCAAUCAAAUAAAAUUAUUUUUCAACUACUCGAGCAACCCAAGCACUUGACAUUCUUAAGAUUAAAGCAUACCAGAAAUUCGGGCCAGGCCACGGACCCAGACUUUUGGGCCUAAAACCUCCAUUGAACCCGGACCCAAAUUUUUCUCUCUUGGUUUCUUCUUCGUAUCUUCUACUUUGACCUACAUCUUAGGAUUUCUCAGUUUCAGUGUCGUCCGUUUGUAUUCAUUAAAGUUGCCAUCGACAUGAAACUAAAAUUCCCAGCUCCUAACUCCUAAGCAGUACCCACAUCCCAGUCCGAGUAUCACUUUCAUCCGCAACUCGUAGUUUACAACACUAGUAAUUUAAUAUUACUUGGCUGAAUGCAAAAGAUUCUUGAAGCGAAGUUGAGUAUGGAUCUAGUGAGUACAUACAUUCACAGAUGGCGGUUUGAUUAUUCGAAUUUGAUCACGCCGUCGUGACAACAAAAAACAACAAGAAACGAAGAAUGAAGAAGAGAUGAGGCCGAUCAGCGAUGGUUUUGUUCCUUUUUUGUUAACCGUUGGAACCAUUCCUUCAGCUAUGCCCCUGAUGAUUUUGUAUCGGGUUUCCCAAUCUAUUAUUUUUAUUUUUAUCUUUUUAUAUUCUUGAAAUUUGAGUUAUUUAUUUUUACAAUCUUUUAUGAAUAUUUUUCAUAUAAUACAUCAUAAACUACAAUAAAAAUAAUUAAAAUGUUCUAAUUUAGAAUAUUAAAAGAUGGUAUUUACUUGAACAUAACUUAUAUUAUAAUAAAAUACUAUCUUAUUUAUAUUCGUUGAAAUAUUUGUCAUGUAUUUAACAUUCAAAAUUUUAAGAGCAUAAAUGUAAAAAAAAAUUAAUUUUCAGUCUUAAAGAAUAAAUAACUCAAUAUUUAUUAUUGGAGAAACUGAUAAAAAAAUAAAAAAACAUCAUUUAAAUUUAAAUAUAUAAUUAUAUUUAAAAUUUAAACUAAUUUAAAUCCAUUUAUUUAUUUUUACCCCUAGAAAUUAAAAUAGUGAUCAAACUGGAAGCCUUAGAAAAUACGGAGACGUGGGACCAACAAGAACCCCAAUUUGCACAAACCAGUAAUCUCCAUUUAUAUGGGUAGUAAGCGACACAUUUGUUCUGACAAAUCAAAAACCAGACAACGCCUGCUCACACUUAACUCUCCAGACUUUCCGUUAUCUUCUUUUCCAAUGUCUUUCAACUUGCUUCUCUCACCUAUUUACCAAAGGUAUAAGUGAUACAAUAAAGGUCCCGUCAAAAAAAGUACAAAAUAGUUUUUCCAUAUCUUGAUAAUAAAUGAGGUGGAGAUAUUUCUACCUCACUUUUUUUCUUUUUUUCUUUUUUCCAAAAUCCGCCUUGCUCUCUAAAAAUAAUUAUAAUAAAUUCAUAUCAUUUUAAGAAAAUACAAAUAAAAAAGUACUUUAGUUAAUGAAUUAAUUAAAUCCUUCCCACCAUUUUCUUUUUUUUUCUUGUUUUUUGGGCUUAGGACUUUUGACAAUCUUUGAACUAUAUAUAUAAAAAAAUAUUUUAAAAUAAAUAUAUUUAGACUAUUUUAUCCUUAUAACAUAAUAUAAUCAAUCUGACACAAAAAAAAACUUAUGUUAUUGCAUCUAAUAAUUUAAAUAUUUACUUUUAUGACCUAUAAUCUAACAUUUUACAUGAAAUCCAAUAAUUACCAUACAUAAUUAUAAAUGAUACAAGUUUAUCAACACAAACUUUCAAAAGUAUCAUGUCAUAAAUAUAUUUUGUUCAUUUAAUUGAUGAUUGAUAAUCAUGCUAAUAAAGUAGUUUUUAUACAUAAUUUAAAAACAAAGAAAUUUCUUUUAAAAUAAAAAAAAUUGAAGUUAAAAGUAAUACUAUUUUAGAAAUUUGGCAUUUUAUAAGGAUAAAAAUAUUAAUAUUAAAUUGAUGCUAAAGCAACCUUAGCGAAACUUAAUAAAGAAAUCCUUCUUCAUUUAAAUUUCCCAUUUUCUGAUUAGUUUAAAAAUAAAUAUAGAGAGAGAAAGAUAGACGACCGAGCGUAAGAGCAGAGGCCUCCAAAUUGACCAAAUGCUACGGUUUGGUUCGGUACGGGUCUUCCAUUAUCUGAGGGCUUAACAGUGACUUACGUGGAAAGACACUAACACCGUAACACGCGCUAUCUUUAUCUCUUGGACUUUUGGUACCCGUCGCUUUCUCGUCCUUUCUAGAGCCACUAAAUGAAACGCUUCCACCAAUCCAUACUAUUCAACGUCAAGUCGUCAAGACUUCAAGGUAAAAUUAACCUUAAAAAAAAAAAAAAACAAUGAUUUCCUCCUUCGUCACUUCUACUCUUCCAAAUGAAAAUUUCCCAUAAAUAUUCACGUUUAUUAAAUAAAUGAAAAAAUUAUAAAUUAUAAUUCUUUGUGAGAAAACAAGAAUUAUAGCUAAGUAAAGUGUUGAUAGAUGAGAGAUUAAAAUGAGUAAUAAUAUAGCCAUAAACUCUUGUACAAAUUUAUUUUGUACAAACAGAUAUGAUGUUAAUUCAUUGGUUUAAUUAAAUAUCUAUUGACCCACAUGAUUUAUUUCUAUUGUUUUAUAUUUUCAUUGAACCAAUGAAUUAAUAACACAUCAAUUUAUACAAACUACAAAAUAAGUUUGUACAAUAGUUUGUGGCUGUAUCAUCACUCGAUUAAAGGAUGUUUUAUAAAUAUUCACGUUUGUUUUAAUAAAUUUAUUUUAAAGUAAUAUACAUUUUUUUUAAAUUGCCUUAAUUUAGUCUUGCAUUUUGCUUGAAAAAUUAGUUAAUUUUGAAGCCAAAGGUCUAGGUGAGUAGUAAUACAAUUCCAUGGAUAUCUACUUUAAAUAUCUGGUAAUUUGAAUUUGUUUAGUACAUUAUUUGUGAGAUGAAUUUGAUUAUUUUCUUGUUAGAUAAAAUAAGUUAGAGGAUGAUUGUUCUUGUAUUGUUUACCGUGAGAUGGAUGAGAUGAGAAAUUUGAAAAAGAUUUUUUUUUGUGUUUUUUUACUAAUAUUUAUUUGUUACAAAUUUUAAUUUCACUUUUUUUUAUUUUCCACUUUUAAUAAUAAUUGUAUUUACUAAAAGUUAUUUUAGUUUAUUCAUGUUUCCAAACAUGAAAACAAAGGAUGAAAUAGUAAAAUAAUUAAUAAAGUUAACAUUAUAAUAACUUAUAAAAGCAGUGUCGGGUUUAGACGUAUUUUAAAAAGUUUAGAGCAGCACCAAAAGAGUCCUUUUAUUUCAUCUCUUAAAAGAUUAUUUAAAUAAAAAUAAGUUUAUAUUAUAUUUAUAAAAAAAAAUCUCUACCAAAAUAAUAGCAAUUAUAACACUUUAUCUUUCUUCAAGAAUAAAAAGAUAAAAAAAAAUAUAAUAUUAAAUGAAGACUGCAAAAGACUUUUUAAAUAAAGAUUAUUUAAAUGAGACAAUGCUCUUCUCUCUUCAAUAAUAUUAUUUUAAAAAGUGAUGAUACAGCCACAAAUUCUUGUAUAAACUUAUUGUGUACAAACUAACGUGGUAUCAAUUUAUUGGUUGAAUGAAAAUAUAAAAUUAAAAAAAAAAUAUGUGGGUCAAAAAAUAUUUAAUUUAACCAAUUUUAUCAUGCCACAUAAGUUUGUAUAAAAAAUUGUGACUAUAUCAUUACUCUAUUUAAAAAGUCUUUUCGUGAUGCUAUUUAGAGCAAAUAAUACGGAUAUUUUUCUUAAAUCCAAAGUAUAUAUACAAGAUAAUAAAAUCAUCUAAUGAAAAAAUGAUAUGUGGAUUUUGUGUUAAAAUAUUUUCCAUUUAUUUGUUAGUUUUCAACCCGAAUAUAUUGAUGAAUGAAUUAUUAAUUUGUUGUGUGGAUUCAUGUUAUCUCAAAUCUACUUGUGUUUAUUAUAUAUUCAAUACAGGAGUCAACGGUAUAUAUUUUUACAUUAAUAGGAGUCAACGGAAAACGGUGACCAAACGUCAAGAUUGGAAAAAAAAACAAAAACUCAUGGAACCAGCUACAAGUUGCAGUGACACACUUUCAUUAUCUCUGACAAGACUAGCGGAUCAUCAUUUCAAACCAGAGGUCUGCCCACCUCACCGUUUAACGUAAGGUGCGCUCCCUCACACGGCUGUAAGUGGGUCCUAAUGAGAUCCACUGCCGUAGACCUUAAGUUGAACCUAAGGUUGCAGCUCCCUCAGAAAAAAAGUUUUUUUUUUUCAAUUUUUAUUAAAGACCAAUGGACAAAGCAGCAAGCAUCAUGAUCGGUGGAAAACCCGUAUACCAAUUACUAAGUUGCAGGGACCCACUCCAUGAUCUCUUACAUUAAUACGUAUGUGCAAUACAUAUAACUAAAUUUAAUACCAUUAUUUUUUACACAAUAAUUCUUAAGAUAAAGGGUAAAGGACACAGACACCCCUAACGUUUGAAUAAGGGACAUAAAUUUUUUUAAUGUUUUAAAAAAGACACUCAGACCCCAAUUGACUAACGGAAAUCGUUCCGUUAAAUCAUUAAAAGGUUAAAAUCGUAAUUACAAAUUAAAAACAAGUGAAUUGACUAAAAACCCACACACGCAUCACACGCACAAACAAACCCCACGCACACACGCACUGAUACUGAUUUCAGACAAAUCUUUUAACACACUCACGGUUUGCCUCGCCGAACGCUGCUGGGGCUGCCGGAAGUUGCUGCUCGCGCUACCGGAAGCUGCUGGAACUGCUCGUGCGUGGAUCGAGACCGAGUCUAGUUGCCGGAUCUGCUGUCGAUCGACGUUUGGCUGUUGCUUGUGCUGUUGGAAUUGCUAAAAUCUCGCGUUUGGCUGAAAACGCACACACGCAUUGAUACUGAUUUCAGACAAAUCUUUUAACACACUCACGGUUUGCCUCGCCGAACGCUGCUGGGGCUGCCGGAAGUUGCUGCUCGCGCUACCGGAAGCUGCUGGAACUGCUCGUGCGUGGAUCGAGACCGAGUCUAGUUGCCGGAUCUGCUGUCGAUCGACGUUUGGCUGUUGCUUGUGCUGUUGGAACUGCUGAAAUCUCGCGUUUGGCUGUUGGAACUGCUCGCGUUUGGCUGCUGGAAUUGCUCGCGUUUGGCUGCUGCUUGUGCUCGCGUUUAGUUGCUAGUUGUGCUCGCUUUUGGCUGCUGGUUGUGCUCGCGUUUGGCUGCUGGUUGUGCUCGUGUUUGGCUGCUGGUUGUGCUCGUGUUUGGCUGCUGGUUGUGCUCGGGUUUGGCUGCUGCUUGUGCUCGCGUUUGGUUGCUGGUUGUGUUUGUGGGAUAAAUUGGACAAUGAACAAUUAGUUUUUAAUAUACUAUAAGGGUAUAAUGGUAAUUGCACUUUAAAAUUAUAAUUUCUGUUAAAAUAAACAGUUUCCGUUAGUCAAUUAGGGUCUGAGUGUCUUUUUUGAAACAUUAAGGGAUUUUAUGUCCCUUAUUCAAACAUUAGGGGUCUCUGUGUCCUUUUUCCUAAGAUAAAUACACGUAUAUCAUAAUAUUAUUUAUUUAUUAUGUGAUUCACGUGAUACUUCAAAUGUAUCAUAGAAUUUAUUCUCCCAAGACUAACGUAUCAUGAUUUGACUUCAGCAAAUUUUGUAUUUUAAAGACCGAAACACGGAACCGAGACUAAAGCAAAUUAGCAAUGACUUCUUCAAGAUUCUUACUCGUGUUUUGCACCAAUAUUCUCUUACAACUUGUUGCUCUCACUAUUGCCCAAGUCCAGGAUACGGCACUGUACAGCGUGUGUUCAAGCAACCAGGGUAACUUCACCGCAAAUAGUACCUACCAAGCAAAUCUCAAUCACCUACUCUCAUCCCUCACCUCUAACACUAAAAUCGACACUGGCUUUUUCAAUAUCUCCUAUGGCCAAAAUCUCGAUAAAGUUAAUGCAAUGGGACUCUGCAGAGGAGAUGUUAAGCCAGACAGUUGCCGCAGUUGCAUCGCUACUGCUACUGUUGAGCUCCCAAAGCGUUGUCCUAACGAGAAGGAGGCUAUUAUAUGGUACGAUAAUUGUAUGUUAAGGUACUCAAACCGCUUUUUCUUUGGCAACAUGGAAUUCGGGCCCUGGUUCUCGAUGUAUAACUUGAAAAACGCAUCGGAUGCAAGUACCUUCAAUCAGGCUGUAAAAAGCUUGUUGGAUAGCCUGAAAAUUAAAGCAGCCCCAGGUGAUAAAUUUGCAACAGGAAAUGCCAAUACGUCUGCAGGUGCAGGCUCUCAAACCAUAUAUGCACUUGUGCAGUGUACCCCUGAUUUGUCUGAGCAGCAAUGCAUUGAUUGCCUAAAUAAUGCCACCGAAUUGCUUCCCAAGUGUUGUGAUGGAAGACUAGGAGGGAGAGUUAUCGCACCCAGUUGUAAUUUUCGUUACGAGAUUGGUCGUUUCUAUGACGUCACAGCUGAUGCCCCGACGACAUCUCCAUCUCCAUCUCCAUCACCAGCAUCAUUACCACCCCCACCGACACCGACACCGACGGCUGAUCAGCCGCCAGCAUCACAAGAAUCUACAAAUUCCGCAACUCAGAAAGGUACCAUGCACUUGCGCGCUCAAACUACAUGACUAAUUUUUUUUUUUUAAUUUUUUUGUCAUUCUGAGGUGAGAUUUGUAGAUGUAUAUAAAAAUUCCGUAAUUUUUUCAUUUUAAUAAAAUUUUAUUCUUGGUCUUUGCAGGAAAGGCGAGUCCUUCGACAUCUGCAACUUUUGUCCUCGUUUUAGUGCCCUUAUUAUUUUGGCAAUACUUGUAAUCUGUAUCUGCGUAUUUCUAAGUGAUCCGAAGCCAAAGGGGAAAAAUAAGGAAUAUCGUUUUCAUAAUUUCAUGUUAUUCAAAAAAGCUUGUACUCUGUUUUAUUGCAAUGGAGAUCAACUGCUCCUCUAGAAAUAGGAAUAAAAAGAAAUCGAAACCAUUGACGCAAAAUUUUAUAUUCAAUUGACUGGGCUUAAAUUUCUUUACAGUCGUUGCAGAAGCAAUUCAUCUUUUCAUGAGCAGAGCAUAUAGCUGGUGGUAAUCUGAACAUGAGUGAAAGUCUAUUCAACAUAUUUAAUUUAACAUUUAAGAAAUCAUAGCUUCAAAGUUGUUGAAUUUUUGUGAGUGAGUUUGGUGAAAAAGGGUCUGACUGACUCAGUCUACGGAAGGAAAUCCUCAUUUAAUAUCCCUAUGUAAUAUUUGACCAAACGAUUAAACUCCAAUUUUAGCCGCUCGUUUCUGAAAAAAUUAACAAUACUUCAUUCAUAAUGAAGAUGUUGAAAGGGUGUGCGAAAUCAUUGCACUACAUGCAUAGAUAUCGGUAUUCGCCAGAAGACCUUUCUUAGACAUGGUGGUCAACGGUUCGAAAUGGCCUUGAUUUCUCAGUUGACUGGUUUCGUGUAUUGUAAUGGCAAUUGUUUGACCAAUACCACUAAGUAAUGAAUACUGAUAUUAACCUUAGAAACCACGGUAGAACUUCGAUAAAAAUUAAUAGUUUUUGAACCAUGAGAAUUAAGAAAUUUAUUAAUUUAGAAAAUAUUAAUAUAUUGAUAGAUUAAUAAUUUUUAAUUUGUUGAUAAUUUAGUAAAUUUUUAAUUUUUAAAGAUAAUAUCACUUUCAUAAUAGAACUUUUAAUGAAGUAUAGAGAUAGUAUAAUUAAAUAAUGUAGUGAUUUUAUCAAGGUGUCUAAUACGAUUUUGAUAUGAUCUUGAUUGAGUGAAUCAGUCAUUUAAUAAUCAUUUGUUGGAUCAUGAUUAUAUUGUAACUCAUCAAAUAAGAACUUUGGAGGCAAUAUAUUUAGUUCGAUCUCUCUCUUAUUUCUCUUAACAUAACAUAUAGAAUACAACAAUAACUUCUCAUAUGAAAGGUAUAAAAAAAGCAACAAUGAUCGAUAAAUUACGUAGAGCGCUAUGCCAAUACAACAAAGAAAAUUAUAAAUAUAUCAUAUGUAUUUAGUUUUAAACUAGUUUAUUAUUAAUUUAUGUAAUAAUUGGGUCAUACAGAAAAAUAUUUUUAAAAAAAUUAAUUUUAUAAAUUUAUCAAAUUAUUAAUUCAUGACAUUGGUCCUAAGUCGGGUUGACAAAAACUAUUAUUUAAUCAAGUUAUUAUCAUAUAUUAAUUUAAGCAGUAUCUACUGUACUUAGGCUUCUAGAGAAAAUUUGACUUUCAAUCUCUUCUACUUAGAUUUCGGUGAUUUCAAUAAGUAUGUGGUUUCAUAAUAGUAAUCAAAUUAAAAAGCAAUAAAGAAGAAGACAAAAUAUAAACAUAAAUAUAUGCAUCUAUGCCAGCACGCAUGAUCAUCCCCUUGUCCGUAGGGGCGCCAGAAAGAGAAGUAAUCAAUGAUGAAUAUCCACCAGUAAGAGAAGUAAUCACUGAAUAAAUAUUUUAAUUUAAAACCACAUUUACAAAACACACAAUCAAUUUUUAUUUUAAUGGCUUCCACUAUACAACAAACUAGGCUAGUUCCCUGUUCAAUUUGCUUGCUCUGCCACAUCGCAUUGGCAUUCUCCACUAACUUCCACAACUUGUGUCCUUUAAAAAGUUAUAAAUAUUUCGGUGAUUGGGGAAUGGUUGGGUUCAAACUUCAAAUGGCUGCGGCAGCUUAUUAAAUUUACUGCAUCUGCAACGCAAGUUGUUCAACAAGAGACAUAACAUUAAAAUCGACGUGUCAAAUAGUUGACAUCUACCGACAAGAUAAUCACCGGCAUAACGAGUAAGUAAUCUGUAUAGAUAUGGACAAGCAAUCACUCCAUUAGUUCCCACAAAACUAAAAGAUAUUCAAUCCAACUCAUUCUCCAUUUUUUUAGCUUUUCAAAGACAAUGGCUUCUUCAAGACUGCCAUUAUUCUUGUGUUCCAUUGUCUUACAACUUGUUGCUCAUACUAUUGCCCAGCAAGAUACGCCUCUGGAUGAACUUUGUUUAAGUGAAAUGGGCAACUUUACCAAAAAGAGUAAAUACAAGGCAAACCUUGAUCGCGUACUCUCCACCAUCUCUUCUAACCCUAAAAUCAACUAUGGGUUCUACACUGCCUCCUACGGCCGAAACAACGAUCAAGUUAAUGCAAUGGCACUUUGCAGAGGAGAUGUUAAUCCCAACAGUUGCCGUAGUUGCAUUAAAACUUCUGCUGUGGAGCUCCGGAAACAUUGUCCCAACCAGAAAGAGGCUGUUAUCUGGUACGAUUAUUGUAUGUUAAGGUACUCGAACCGAUACUUCUUUGGCAACAUGGAGUUCGGGCCCUGGUUCUGGAUGUAUAACUUGCAUAAUGUGUCGGAUGCGACUACUUUCAACAGAGAUGUAGCGACCUUGUUGAAUAUCCUUAAAAAUAAAGCGGCCUCUGGUGAUAAUUGUCGUAAGUUUGCAACAGGAAAUGCUACAACCACAAAUUCUCUUACAAUAUAUGCACUUGUGCAGUGUACCCCUGAUUUGGAGAAGCAGCAAUGCAUUGACUGCUUAAAUAAUGCCACCGCAUUGCUUCCUAAAUGUUGUGAUGGAAGACAAGGAGGUAGAGUUAUCGCCCCCAGUUGUAAUUUUAGGUACGAGAUAGGUCGUUUCUAUGACCUUACUGUCACAUGUUAGAAUAUUAAAUUUACACUUCUAAUUAAAAGGGAGAAUAUAGGUACUUUUCCCCAUUAUUGUUCGAUCUUUUAGCACUUACUCUUCUAUAGCUUUUGUGACAUUCAGUUACCCACACGGCCACACGUCAAUGGUUUUUCAGAAAAACUAACUCUGUAAUUUUGGCGUUAGAGGAGGGGUAACGGGAUAUUAUGAAAACUAUGGAGAUAGAGGAUAUAUAUGUGGUAGAACAAAAAUAUUGAGGGGAAAGUUGGCGAUCUCUAAAUAAAAAAACUUACUUUGAUUGGAAAAUUACUAUAUAUAUAUAUAACGUAAUGAUGUGAUGGAAGCACUAAACGAUUUAUCCAAUCUUUUUGUAAGCACUACUAAGUGGUUGUUUAAUAAUUUUAUGGAGAUCGAUAUUUGGAGAAAUUUUAGAAUAACUUUAAUGUAUUACAACCAAUUGAUGCAUGCAUGACAUAUGUGGUUGAAUUUAAUAUAACCACCACUUGCAUGAUGGUUUUUUAAAAUAAAUUCACACAUGUCAUAUCAUUAUUUGCUUAUUGUAUAACUGACAUGGUACCUCUGAUGUAUUCUAAAAUUUCUCCGAUACUUGAAGUGAGAAUUGCUAUGGAAAGGCAUUAACGAAUAAUGGGCGUGAUCUUUGGCGUUGGUGGAAGAAAGCUGACUCCAAGCAUUAUGUUUUUGCCACACUCUAUUUGUGGGAUGAAUUACUUUUAUUUUGGGGAGAGUAAUGUAUAUCUAUUUAUCCACAACUCGGUGCAUUUCACCAUCUCCAUUACUUUAAUAAUCUCUUUAAUUUCCAUUGGUGGAAUGAAUCAAAGAAACUUGUCACUUUCAACGUCUUUAAUAAUUGUGGUUCACCAGCAAUAGUUAGAAAAUUUCGUGAUUAUUAAUGUGAAUGUCAUGAUUAAAAACCACGUUAAUUUUAGUCUAUUGUAUAAAAAGAUAUUUUGAUCCUCUAAUAUAUGAAACAAAAAACCACGUGAUUUUAGUCUGUUGCACAAGAAGAUAUUUUGAUCCUCUAAUAUAUGCACUCUGUUUCUGUUAUAAAAAAAAAAUGCAUGGUUCAAUGUAAUUUGUUAUUGAUACCAUGAAAAUACAAAGAGAGGCUGGUUCAAAGAACUAGAUAAUUUUCCUUUUGUUUCUCUUUGAUUGUUUAUAACGCUAUUGCUUCUUCACAAUCAUACUUCUCUUACUAUUGGUGAAAAUAAAAAUAGCAAACAUUCUCACUGAUCGCACCCGAACCCAUUAAUGGAUGAAUCUUCAAUUCUUUCAUUAUUAGGGACGCCAUUCGUCCACGAGGAUAUUGUCACACCACAGUGAUUAUCUACUUGAAUAAACUUAAAAUGUAACAUAAGAGUCUUCAAUGGAAUACUCUAAUUGGUUCCGUGAGACAAUUAACAAUUUUAUUAAUGUCCCUGGUGUGUGUCAUGAAUUGGCAGAAUAAGAUAUAAAUCUCAAAAAUUAGUUUCUUGUGUCCAUUUAUUUAGACUCACUAGAUGUUAAUAUCUUUUUAACUUUUCGUCGUUCGUUAUAUUUAUAAAUAUUCUACUGCUCACGAGUUUCCUACCACUUUGACAAAUAUCAAGGACAUUAAUGUUUAAUUUGUUAAAAAUGCUUGCUCAGGACUCGAGUGAUACUUUUAAAAAAUGUAAGGAAAUUUGUAAAAUUAUCUCAUAUUCCAUAUUAAAACAGUCAACACAUGUGGUUGACCUGGAGAGACUCGGUUUGACGUGGUAUACUGGAAAAACGGAGUCUGCAGUGAUGUGUAUUUAUAUGGACAAGCGGGCGAUCAAUCCAUUCUUUCACAAAAAACCAACAUUCUCUCCUCCGACAUCAAGAACGAGAAUGGCUUGUUCAAUAUCAAAUUUAAAACUGCUGCUUUUCGUCUUCCUGUGUUUCAUUAAAGUUGCCCACCAGCAGCAGCAGCAGCCAUUGGACUCUGUUUGUGUAGGGCGCGGGCGCAAGGGCACCUUACCCAGAAAUAGUAUCUACUAAGCAAACCUGAAGCGCCUACUGUCCACCAUCACCUCCCACACCAGGAUCAACUAUGGCUUUUACAAAACCUCUUACGGAGCAAAGCAAGAUCAAGUGAAUGCAAUAGCACUUUGCACAGGAGAUGUUAAUGUGGCCUCUUGCCGUCAGUGCAUCUAUAGGUCUACUUUUGUGCUCCAAAAACGUUGUCCCAACCAGAAGGAGGCUGUCAUAUGGUAUGAUAAUUGUAUGUUAAGGUACUCUAAUCGCUACUUCUUUGGAAACAUGGAAUUCGGGCCUUGGUUCUGGAUGUAUAACUUGAAAAAAGUACCGAAUCCAGGAGCCUUCACUCGAGCAGUAAGAUCAUUGUUGAAUACGCUGAUACUUAAAGCUGCUUCUGGCAGCUCUCGUCUUAAGUAUGCAACAGGAUUUACCACGCGAAGCUCUCCAAAUAUAUACGCACUUGUGCAGUGUAGUCCUGACUUGUCUAAGCACGGUUGCAUUACGUGCCUAAACAACUCCAUAGCAUUGCUUUCAAAAUGUUGUACUGGAAAACAAGGAGGAAGAUUUGUUGCACCCAAUUGCAAUUUUAGGUACGAGACUGGUCGUUUCUACGGAUAACCUUACAAUAGCUAGCCGCCAGCACCAAAGACAAUCUCCUCAAACGCUUGAAGUUGUUUUUUUGAGUUUAUACAUAUAUAGAUAAAAAAGCAUUAAUAACUCCGAAUUUCCCUUGCUUGGCUGUAAAGCUCGUGCCGCAGUUUAUCUUAAAUAAUAAGGAGUUGAAAUCUAAAGUUUGUUAGAUUUAAUAAGGAGUACUUGAUUUUGUGACCUAUAUUCUAACUUUUCAAUUGAAGUAUAAUGAUUUUUAAUAUUUUACAUGUAUAUAACAUAAAUUUAAUAAUCUAAUAAUUUACAUUAGUAUUGCUCAUAAAGACAUUAUCUUAAUUAAAGGUUAAUAAUCAUACUAAUAAAGUAGAAUUGACCAUUUGGAAAUAAUGAAUUUUGUAUAGAACAAAAAGAAUGUUAAAGUAAAUUUUUGGUGUGUUUAUCCUUUAAGGGUAAAAUAAUCAAUUUAAAUUUAGAAUAAAGCAAUGUUAAUAGUCAAAUAUAAUAAAAAAAUAUAAAUCACAAAAAAAUAAAUUAAAAUCUCAAAAAAAUAUUAAGAUAGAUUUAAAUGAUUAAUUCUUUAGAAUUUUUCUUUAUUUAAAAUUUUUAAAAAUAAUGUGGAUCUUUUAUACUUAAUUUUUAGAAGUGAGUUGGAUUUACAUAACUUCUAUGGUGAAAAUAUCACCACCCUAUACUUAAUUUUUAGAAUUGAAAUAGAUUUACAGAAUUUCUAUAGUCAAAAUAUCACCACCCUGUAAAAUAUUAUUUACAAAAAUUCAGUGUCAAUCAAUGGCAUGCAUAUUCUUGUUAAGAUUUUUGUUUUUUUAAUUUUUGCAUGGGCCAUCACAGGAGCAGGGAUUGCCUUUUUUUUUUUUUUUUAGUUUAAACCACCCAGUUUCCGACUACAGCAUUGAGCCCAACUAAUCCGAAUUUAGAAUGUAGUUACAAUUAAAAUUCUUUAUAUCUACCAAAUAAUAUAUUUAAUAGAGAUCAAACCCAAAAGCUCUUCUCACUUACCCCGCCUGUGUUCUUUUUUUUUUUUUUUUAAUUCACUUCAUUUCAUAAUUUUUUUCCGAUUUCACAUAAACAUCACAGAUGCAUUUACUGGGCUGCCACGUCCUAGUUUCCCAUUCUCACAACAACAUCAACUCGGCUACCACGUCCUAGUGGUUCCCUCAAUCAACAUCAACCGUUGAUUGUGCAAAUACUUUAAAUCCUGUGGUUAUUAUUUUUUCCAUAUAUUUAGUUCCACGCGGUCUGUCAAUGGAACUGGUGCAUGGCAGUCGUAGCCUUCAAAUCUAUAGCGAAAGCAAAAAGCCAAAAGAAAAAAGCUUGAUUUCCGGUAGGCUCUAGCGUUAGCGUCACAGGCGGGUAAUUUUGCAAACACAAAGUACCGGCCAAGAAAGACCUAAUCUUUUAUGUGAUGUAACCAAUCGGAUGGUGAAAAGUCAUGGCGAGUGGGAGACUCAGCCCUGCCGAAUUGGUCAAACUGCAGCUUCAUCAUUUACUACCCACAUGCAUAAGUGGGACCCACUCUGGGGCGGUUUUUGGCCCCUACCAUGAUUUCCAUCGCCAUCGCCCGCUGCCCUAUGCUAUGAUCAAUCAUCAAUUCACAUUCACAAGCCAAGCCCAUGAUUUUUUUCCUCGUGUUCAUACGUAGCUCUAAACCCAGAAGCUCUCGGGUUUCACAUGUUAAAAUUUUAUACAAAUCACGGUGCGUAUUAUUAACACAUUCAAAUCAAAUUUAUGCUCGUCUUGGUCAUCAGCAAGCUUAUGCUAGAAGCUGGGUGAUCAACAUUGUGGUUAGAAAGUGACUUCAUGGUAGUCAUUUGUCCCAUUCGUUAAUUAGCCGGACCACUUUCUUAAUAAAUCUUAAUUUGGAUCAACCUGUCAUCAGCUGUUAGCUUCCCAAAAAAAAUUUGAUAAGUUGACACAAUUUAUUAUAUUUAAUAGAUUUCCCAAAUAAUUGCCCGUAAUAGUCUUCCUUAUGAUAACGUACAUUCUUGCUUGGUUGAGUGAGGAGCAUUGGGGCGAGUACCGUGCGAUUUUAUUGUAGGGUUACCAGCCCAUACAGAAAUGAUAGGACCGUCACAUAUGUUAAGAUUAUUGGAUCUAUUUUGAUAGAUUUUAUUGCAUUAUGGGCAAGGGCCGAUAUAGGAACAAACGUUACGGGUUAGAAAUGGGCCACCAAUUUUUUAACAUUUGGUGUUUCUUCUAUAUAUAUGUUUUACAAAAGUAGUACAAGCUAUUUUCUUCAUUUAUCUCUCAUUUUCUCAGUUGGAAGAAUUUUGUUUAGUACUAAGAAAGCUUUACAAAAUCUGGAACCCCUUGUAGUCAUGAAUUAAAGGUAACAAUGGGACAAUUAUUUGAGUCAUUCUUAUAAAAUUAGGUGACUGAUUGAUGGCUAAAAGAUUAAGAAUGCUUAAUAUAAUCCUAGUCAUAUACCAUCACUAAUGAGUACGCGUCAUACAAUCUAUUUUUUUUUUAAAAGGGCUCAAGAUUUUUAAAAACUCACAAAAUCCCAAUUCAUUAGAGAAUUUUUAAUCUUCAUAUGACAUCAUCAUUAAUUGUCAUAUUGUAUUAGGUCUUGGUUGACUUUAUUAUAUUAUUAGGGUGCAUUUGCAUUGUAUAUUUGUACUGUACGAGGGUGCAUUAAAUUAAGUUGUGAUGCAAUAUUAUGUUUGGUGUAGCAUAGAUUGUAUUAUUUAUAAAAAUAUUGGAUUAAAUUAAUGUUAAAAUUAAAUUAAUAUUAUUUAAAUUUGUUUUUAGGGUUGUAUUAUUAAUUUUUUAAAUUAGGUAUUAAACAAUUAUUUCUAUAUAUUAAUUUCAUAAUAUACAAAUGAUUUAAUAAUAUACUAUGAUUAAAUAAUAAAAUAUUAUGUUAUAUUAUUAAUAAUAUUAUAUUAAAAUAUAAUUUAUUUCUAUACAUUAAUUAGUUCUUAUAAUAUAGUAUAAUCAUAUUAUACAACAUCAUUUAAUAUUAUGUAAAAAUAUAAUACUAUAUAAUAAAAUAUCAAAUUAUAAAUUUAUUUCUAUUUAUUAAUGUCAAAUGUUAUUGUUUAAUUUAAAAUAAUUUUUAAAUUUAGUAUUUAGUAGAUAAUAAAUGAUUAAAUAAAAUUUAUAAAUUUAUUUAUUAAAUAAGAUUAAAAUAAUUAAAAUGAUUUUAUGUAAUGAAAGUAAAAUAAUGAAUUACAUUUAUUUAUUAAAUAAGUUUAUUACUAUCUUAUAUUAUUUUUUAAAUUAAAUUUUUAUUGAAAUAUAAAUAUAUAUUAAUAUUUAAUAAAUUUAAAUUUAUUAUAGUUUAUUAAAUAAUAAAAUUUAUUGAUUAUAUAUGAAAUAUUAACAGUAUUUUAAUGCAAUAUAGCCUAAAUCCUAUCCUCUCUCCUAUGGGUUUAUUUUACACUCACCUUUAAUUGUAUAAGUCACCUUUUUAAUGUAAUGCAAUACAACUAGAAAUUAUAAACAAACAUGGGUUAGCACAAAAAAAAAUAUUUUAAUGCAAUACAAUAAAGUGUAAUACACCCUUAAUGUCCUUAUAAUAAAAUGACAUGUUAGAUGUUAUAUCAAUUGGGCACAUCUCGACUAUGUAAGUGGUGGGCGCUGCCUAGGUGGAUCAUGAGGUGAGAAUUCGAUAUAUUCCCAACACCAAGGCCUAUCACUAAGCCGGCCACUUGCAAAAGCUGAAAACAACCGCACGGCGUUUCAAGAUCUUUAUUGGUUGGACCACCCACUACAGCCAUUGGAUGUAUGUACUUGAACUUGAAAUAAUUGUGACAGAGUGCAUCCAAUGAUUAUGGUGGGUGGUCUACCUUAGAGCUGAUCCAAGUAGCCAAACCAUUAUUGGUUUUACGUUAAAACAUGAACGCAGAAAAACGUUUAUUUUCUUCCUUAACUUUUUAGCAUCUCUAAUGUUCCUAAUAUUCAUUACGUUUUCAGCAUCUCUAAUAUUCCUUUUUGGAUAAUAGUGAGAAGAUUUUUCUAAUCAUAUAUAUGUAAUCUUGUGCCAUAAUUUUUUUGUUUUGGGGGGGGGGGGGGGGGGGGGGAGGCUAAUAAUGCUUCCGAUACCUUAUAUAUAUAUAUAUAUAUAUAUAAAACUCCUCUAAACAGAUAAAUAAAUCACUGCUUUAAUCAAAAUAGAGCUUCUUUAAAAUUUUGAUGCAAAAAUACCAAGUAGAACGCAUGAUUCUGUCAAAUGAUUCCACUAUGCACUAUCCGACGUAAUGCUUGGGAAGUGGAAGUUAAGCACGCUAACGAAUUUUCUUCCCUUCGGCUCCCCCUCUGUUGAGUGUUGACAACUUAUGUCAGAUUACUAAAUUAGAACGAUUCUGUCAAACGGCUUCACCAUGCUAGAAUUUCCAAUGCAAUGAUUCAUACCACUUAUAGACGAGUCAUGGGCUAACCACUAGCUCAUGCAUUAAUUGGUGGAUCAUCUUCAAAAGAAAACACUAAUAAAGAGUGAGCCAUGUAUCCUUAACUAUUCCACGUGCUGUUUAUAGUCUUCCACUGUGAGAUUGUCAAUUACUUUGCCUUUAACUUCGCACUUAUUGUACAUAUUAGUUAUAUUCUCAUAUAAUAUGAGUUGUAAUUUGAGCAAUAGUCUCAUGUCAUCAAAAAAAAAAAAAAACUUCGCACUUAGCUUGUGGGAUACGAUAAAAACAAAAAAAAAGGGUUAAACUUCAUGUUUUUAUCCUGUCACCAAACUUAUACACAGUACACAAAUUUGGCCGUUGGAACUUGGAACGAAGCGAGCAUUUUUUGUUCAGUUUUUCUCUUUAAAGAAAAAAGAAAAAUGUAGAACAUGAGUAAAGCUUAAAUUAAUUGGUUAUCCACUAGUUUUUUUCAAGGAUUUUUAAUUUAUGUACCCAAUUAAAUAAAGUUACUUGAAAAUUAUUCAACUUGGUCUUGAGAUCCGAUUUUUUUUGUUUAGCUGUUUUAGAUGAUUGUUGAUAAGUUUUAAUAUUAAUUCAAUUACAAAAUGGAUAUUUUAUCCCAUUUAAUUGAUAAAAAAUAAUUUAUUAAUAUUCUAAUCUAUUACUUUUAUCGAGGUUAACGAUGAUAAGUUAGACUUCGUUAAUAUUUAUUGAUUUAAUAAAAAGAACCAACCAUAAUUUUUUUUUUAUUUUACAACUAAAACUUCCAUUUUAAAGCGACUAUAACACCAAACAAACUCUAAUUUUAUUCGCCUGCCGCAAUGUGGAGGUACUGUUGUGUUUAGUGCUAAAUCCUAACCCAUGGUAUAGACAGUUGGGUUUUCUUAUUAAAAUAUACCCAUUUGCACCAAAAUAUUAAAUAUAUACCUCCACAAACACAUAUGCCUAAAUAGAUGAGAAGAGACAAAAUUACCCCUGUCAACCACAUUUCUUCAUAUCAUCCCAAAGAAAACACCAUGCAUAAUAUUUAAUUUCAUCUACGUUCUUCUCGCUUGCUGUUUCGUUUGUUCACUGUACCAAAUAAGAUCCAAAAAACAUAAACUCAUAUGUAAAAGAUCUUAAGCUAUAUUACCACACACUUCUACAUCAAAUAUAGUGAUCCUUUUUUUGUUUUUGGGGUCUUUUUAUUGUCUAGUGACUAAAAAAGAAAUAAAAAAAGUCAACUAUGAGAUUAACUAAGUCAAGUAGAAAUUCGAAUAAGUUGAUAAGUUGAUAAGUUGAGGAUGAAUUCAAGUCAGUCUAGUAUGAAGUCAAGAGUAAUAAUAUACUUACAAAUUUGGGAUACAAAAUUUAUAACAUUUGAUGUGCAAAAAUUACAUUGCUAAUGAUAAUUUAAGAGUUCAAUUAUUGCAAAAUAGAUGAUAACCAUUGCAUUGAAGAUGCAUGAUUUUCAUUUGUGACAAAAUUUGUUUUCCUACUUUUUAAGCAUAUCAAUUUAUCAUUACUGAUGUGAUAAUUUGGUGUGAAUGGAGCAUAUUAAGUGCAAUUACUCUAAUAGUUGGACUCGCUUGAAACAAUGACAAAACUUGAAAGACUUGAUGGUCGUGGAUAGGUAACCAACAAGAAAAAAACUUAUGUGAAACGAUCUUAUUAUAACACUAUAUUUACGUGGUAGGAUCAUUUAACCGGUCUUUGACAAAUGAAAAAGAGAGACAAUUUUCUUAUUCUUAAUUAAUGUGACCUAUUGGUAGAGUCAAUUAUAAUUAAUAGUGGAUCCCGUCACUCUAAAUAAAAAAAAAAAAAAAAAUUCCUCUCUCCUAUGUGUCAAAGAUUUAUUGAAUGGUCCUACCAUAUCAAUAUGUUAAUGUGUUAAAAUCAUUCCAUGUAAGUUUUUCUCACCAUGAAGAAACAAAUUUAAUGUGUACGGCUACUAGUCAGGAACCUGUAUUUAAAUGGACCAUCGAUUGCACCAUUUCUUCAUUAUACCACAUAGACUCAGAAAUAGAUAAUGGCUUCUCCAAGAAUGCUAUUCUUCUUCUGUUGCAUUGUCUUACACCUUGUCGUUCUCACCUCCGUAGCCCAGCCACUGAAGCAAUUUUGUUCAAAACAAGGGGACUUCCCGAAAACAGUGCCUACAAAGCAAACCUGAAUCGGUUACUCGCCUCCUUCCCCUCAAAAGUCAAAAACAAAAGAUCAUGGUUUCUAUAGUGCCUCAUACGGCGCAAAUAGUGGUAGAGUUAAUGCAAUGGCAAUUUGCAGAGGAGAUGCUAAGCCUGAAAAUUGCAGUAGUUGCAUAAAAAAUUCUACUAUAUUCAGCUCCAAAAACUUUGUCCCAGCCAGAGAGAGGCUAUAAUCUGGUAUGACCUAUGCAUGUUAAGGUACUCAAACCGCCAAUUAUUAGGCAAAAUGGAAUUCGGGCCGCUAUUCUGGAUGUAUAGCGAGAAAAAAGUAUCCCAAGCACAAGCAAAAUACUUCAAUCAGGUAUUAAGAACCCUGUUGAAUAACCUGAAAGUUAAAGCAGCUUAUGGUGGUUCUGGUCUUAAGUUUGCAACUGGAACCACGCGUAACUCUCCAAAGAUAUACGCACUUGCGCAGUGUACGCCCGACUUGUCUAAGAAGCAAUGCACUGAGUGCCUAAUUAACGCCACUGCACUGCUUCCACAAUGUUGUGAUGGAAAAGCAGGAGGAAGAGUUGUUGCACCCAGUUGUAAUUUUAGGUACGAGACUGCAGGUCGUUUCUAUGCAUGACCUGCCCUGCCCCGUCCUGUCCUUACAACUAAUGUGUGUAUGAAGCGGCAUGAUCACCAUCCCCAGCGCCGCCCAAGGUAAUAACGACUCAGCAGCAGCAACCAUCGCCCAGUUGUUUGUUGAGUUUAUUUGGAAAACUAGUGUCAAAUUAAGUCAAUAAAACAGAAUGUUUCCUCUUUCGGUAAAAUUCCUAUUGUACUAGAAGUUUGUUUCGAAUAAAACUUAAAAAAAUAAAUGCUUUGCUGCUUAGUUUGAAGCAUUAUUUUAGUUUGUCAUCAUGUUACACUUCUUAUCAAAUCAAAAGGUUCGACGAAGUAAUGCAGUUACCUAAGAAAUUAUUAAUUUUUUUUUCCUUAAAAAGAAAAUUGUAACAUAACAUUUAACAUUAACAGAAUCAAAGGUGAUGAUGUUUCGGUUUUUUUUUUGUUUUUUUAAAGUAAAAAAGACAAUCUGUGACUAAUGAACUAUAGGAAGGUUUACCAAAAACACUCUUCUUUUAUAAAUAAAAGUCCAAUGUAAGCAAAGCUUUGACGGAAGUUAUUAUUUAAGGACCUGUGUAAUGGUAGAGUUCCAAGCAGUAUCCCAGGACUUGGAUCUCAAGUGAUACUACUAAUGUGCAUGUGUAAUUAUUUUUCACUUCAUGAUCCCACUAUAUGGUAGUUGAAUGUGAAGGACAUAAUUUAGAUACCGUCGUCCUCGAAAGUUAAGAUUUAAAGAGAUACCAGGAGCACAAAUGCAGUAUUGUGAUAACCACUCUCUUUGAAACCAAAUGUAACGCUUAGCAAGUGGAAACCACACAAGCUCUGUUUUUGUUGACAAAUUUUAAAUGAUUCGAACUAUUAAUAUUCACCAUCACUAAUCGAUUAAUUGGUGGAUCGUCAUGUCCAGAAAGCACAUAAAAGAGGGCAAAAUUCUCAGUCUCUCACUACGAGAUUGUCCGACCUCAAUUGCGGGGGCAGGCCCAUAAUUGCUGAUCACUCCAUGUUAAUUUAUAAAAUUAUUAUCAAUAUUUAUGUGAACGAUGGUGCAUAUAAAAAAAUUAAAAAAAUCACAUAUUAAACAAUGCGACAUCAAAACUCUUAGUACAAUACACACACACACACACACACACAAUAAUAAAUGAUGGGCAACAAUGCAACAAAGAAGGUUAUAACAUAAAUUAUUAAAAUUGUAUCAUUAAAAAAAUUUUGAAAUCUUUUUCUAUUUUUGAUUAAGAAUGUGAAAUCUUUGAAUAAUUUAAUAUAAUGGGAAGGAAACGAGCAAGUAUGACUAUAAAGCAAACAACCAUGAAAUUUUAAAAAUAUUAAUUGUUACUAUAUGUUAUUUUUUUAAACUUUCUACUGUAACUCUCUAUAGUCAUAAUAUUACGAUCAAACUAAUUUAAUAAUUGUGAAUAAGUUAUAACUAAAUAAAAGUAUAGUUAUAAAGUUAAUGUUUUAACUUAAUUAUCCUUAAUCAAAGUGAUAUAGAGGUAGAGUAUGCACUACACUAAUAAUUAAGUAAUAGAAUAGGUCAAAUCUAAUGUAUUAACAUUGACGAAAUAUAAAUAUAAUUUUAAGAAACUAAUACAUAUAUCUAUGUGAUAUAGUGUCAAAAAUAUGUAAAGUUAUCUUAAAAGUCUAAAUAUUUGCAUUCUCUUUAAAUUUUUCUCUCAAUGUAAAAUUUCUCUCCCCCCUCCCUAUAUAUAUGUGUGUGUGUGUGUUAUAUAAGGAUUUAGUAACAACUCUAAAUAAUAAAUCACUGUCUCAAACAACAUUUGAAAAGUAUUUAUUCUAUCUUAAACAUUUAAUAUAAUAUAGCAUAUAUUUUUUUACAAUGUACAAAUAAUUAUUACUAAGUGGAGGGCAAGUUUCUUUAAAAUGGUUCUAGGAAAAUUAUAAAUUAUUACAAUGUAAAGUUUAUUCUUACUUAUGUCUAGUCUAAGUUAGAACUAAAAUUUUGUAUGACUACUUGGACAUUAUUCUUUUAUAGAGUAUCACUAUAGAAAGGUUUUACCAUAAUAUUAGUUACGAUGUUAUAAUAUAUUGACAUAUUAAUCUUUUAAUUAGCACAAUUUUAUAAUAAGUUAAAGGAGUAAUAGCAUUUUAAACCCCUAGUGAUACCAAUUUUUUCAAUAAAUAUAUAGGUUAAUCAUUUUGUAAAACAAGUCAUUACUCAUUAACUCCAAUUAUAUAUAUAUAGUUUUCUAGUCCAGGAUCAUAAAGUGCGGAAAACGUCCGGAAAAAUUUUAAAACCUCGGGGUUUUAAAGGUUUAAAACUUAAAGGGCGUAAACCGUAAGAUUUAUGCACUUUUCCGAACUACUUUAAAAUUUCAUAUUGGAAUAUUUCUCUCUCUCUCUCUCUCUCUCUCUCUCUCUCUCUCUCUCUCUCUCUCUCUAUAUAUAUAUAUAAUUCAAUUAGGGACAUACUUAAAAAUAAAAUAAAAACUCUACUAUUAUAUAAAAAUGAAUAAAGCAUGAGAGGUAUGAAUGAUUUUUUUUCCCAGCAUCGGACUUAUGAUAAUUCUGCCUUUCAAUUGCGUAAGGGCACCCCCACUUAAAAUCAGUAAUCAUAAAAAUCCACGCUAUUUUUAACAGUUUUAAAUAAAGAAUAAAUAUGAAUAAUUAACCCAUUAAGUAAUAAAUAUGAAUAAUUAAUCUAUUAAAUCUCCAUUAAUUAUUUAAAAUUAUUGUACAAAGUACGUCUUUUGAGUUUAGUUAUUUAAUGUUAUAAAGGUAAAAUAAUCAUAUAAAAAUUAUAUUAAAACAAACUCAGUGAUAAUAAUAAUAAUCAAGAGAUUAAUAUAAAGAAAAGGAUUUGAUUAAUUAAUUAUUUAGAUAUCUUCUUUAUUUUAAAAUUUAAAAAAUAAUAUGAAUUUUUAGUAGAUACAUAUUUUUAAAUGGGAUAGACUACGGAUGCACAUAUAGAAAUUAUAGGAUGAAGAUAUCUCCACCGUUACACAUUAUCAUAAUGCGAAAUGGAAACAAAAAAUAUAUUGAAUUCUUGUCAUUCUAUAAAAUCACCCAUUUGUCAUAAUGUAAAGUAGAAAUUUAAAAUAUCAUGACUGUUGUCCCACUUACAGCUUACAAGGCCCAUAUCUAAACAACUGUUUCUUUUCUAAAAGAUUGAGGCUCAUCGCAACACCGUCACCAUACAUUCUUUCAAAUAUCCCAACCAAAUUUUUAGUGAUUAAUAUCUGUAGACUUGGAAGACUUUGAAAAGUGGUGAUCAAAUGUGGAAGACUUGGAAAAUGUCUGUAGACUUAAUUUUGUUAGUUAAGUUUAUUUUUUAGGUUAAUAUAAAUUAAAUUUUUAGUGAUUAAGUUAUUUUUUUAUAUUUUAUUUGAAAAGUCUAAGUGACAUUAUUAAAAGACAUUCUUUCAAAUAUCCCUAUCAAAUUGAUUUAUUAUCAUCUGUAUUUAAACUUACUAAUUAGUAUAUUGUUAUGACUUUUAUCUUUUAUAUUCUUUAAAUUUACAUUAUUUACUUUUAAAAUCUUUAAUGAAUAUUUUUAUAUAAUACAUCAUGAACUAUAAUAAAAAUGAUUAAAAUGUUCUAACUUAGAAUAUUAAGGGAUGGUAUUUACUUGAGCAUAAUUUAUAUUAUAAUAAAACACUAUCUUAUUUAUAUUCUUUGAGAUAUUUGUCAUAUACUUAACAUUUAAAACUUUGAGGGCACAAAUGUAAAAAGGAUAUAUAUAAAAUUUUCAGUCUUUUUAAGUUAAAAAUAAAUAACUUAAUAUUUAUUAUUGGAGAAUCUGAUAAAAAAUAAAAUUAUCAUUUAAAUUUAAAUAUUUAAUUAUACUUAAAGUUUAAACUAAUUUAAAUCCUAUAAUACGUAGACGUGGGAUCAAACUGUUGUUCUUUUCCAAUGUCUUUCAACUUGUUUCUCUCACCUAUUUACCAAAAGUAUAAAGUUUUAAUUCUAAGUGAUAUAAUAAAAGUACAAAAUAGUUUUUCCAUAUCCAUAGCUUGAAAAUUAAUUACGUGGAGAUUUUUAAACCUCACUUUUUUUCUUAUUUCAAAAUCCGCCACGUUUUCUAAAAAUAAUUAUAAUAAAUUCGAAUUAUUUUCAGAAAAUAUAAGUAAAAAGGCACUUUGGUUAAUGAAUUAAUUAAAUGCUUCCCACAAUUUUUCUCUUUUUUCUUGUUUUUUGGGCUUAGGACUUUUGACAAUAUUUGAACUGUACAUAAUAAUAAAAAAAUUUAAGAUUACUUUAUUUUGACUAUUUUGCCCUUAUAACAUAAUAUAAUCAAGAGAAAUUAUCAUUACACCACCUCUCUUUUGUCUUAUAUUCAUUCAACCACCACAAAAUUCUAACAUGUUCUUUACACCAUAUUUCUUUUUAAAUUUUAUCAAUUAGUCAAGUUUGCACUAACACCGUUAAAUAAUUUAAAUUAAUGAUAAUUUUACGCCUAAAUAAUUUAAAAGACCAUUUUAUCCUAUAAAAACUUUAAAAAAUAAAAGAUUUAUAAUUAUAAAAAUACUCCUAAAUUUAAUAAAAAAAUAGAUCCCAAAUAGAACAAUUGAUUUUUAUUAAAUUUAGAUUUUACAAAAUUUUAAUAAUUAAUUUUAUUAAAGACUUUAAUUUUACAAAAUUUUAAUAAAAAUAACGAAUUUAUUUAUUAGAAAUUAUAAAUUUUCAAAAUUUUAUUAAAAUACUUGAAUUUAUUUAUUAAAAAUAAAUGCCACAAUUAUUUUUAUAAUUUUAAGAUUUAUUUUUAUUAAAUUUAGGAGUAUUUUUAUUAUAAUUUUUUAUUUAUUAAAGUUUUUAUAAAUAAAAUAAUCUUUUAAUUUAUUUAUGGGUGAAAUUUUUAUUUUAUUUAAAUUAUUUAACGGUGUUAGUGCAAAAGUAAUUAAUUGAUACAAAUUUAAAAAAAAUAUGGUGCAAAGAAUAUGUUAAAAUUUGUAAUAGUUGGAUGAAUAUAAUGUAAAAAAGAAGUGGUGUAAUGAUAAUUUCUCUAUAAUCAAAUUGACACAAGAAACAUAUAUUAGUGCAUCUAAUAAAUUUACUUUUAUGACCUAAAAUCUAAUAUUUUACAUGAAAUCCAAUAAUUAUGAUACAUAAUAAAAAAUGAUACAAAUUUAUCAACACAAAAUUUUAGAAGUAUCAUGUUAUAAAUAUAUUUUGUUCGUUUAAUUGAUGAUUGAUAAUCAUACUAAUAAAGUAGUUUUCGUACAUAAUUUAGAAACAAAGAAGUUUCUUAUCAAAUAAAAAGAAAUUGAAGUUAAAAGUACUAUUUUGGAAAUUUGACAUUUUAUAAAAUAUUAAUAUUAAAUUGAUGCUAAAGCAACCUUAGCGAAACUUAAUAAAGAAAUCCUUCUUCAUUUAAAUUUCCCAUUUUCUGAUUAGUUUAAAAAUAAAUAUAGAGAGAGAAAGAUGGACGACCGAGCGUCAGAGCAGAGGCCUCCAAAUUGACCAAAUUCUACGGUUUGGUUCAGUACACGUCUUCCAUUAUCUGAGUGCUUAACAGUUCCUUAUGUGGAAAGACACCAACACCGUAACACGCGCUGUCUUUAUCUCUUGGACUUUUGGCACCCGUCGCUUUCUCAUCCUUUCUGGAGCCACUAAAUGAAACUCUUACACCAAUCCAUACUAUUCUACGUCAAGACUUCAAGGUAAAACCUUCAAAAAAAAAAAAAAAAAAAACAAUGAUUUCCUUCUUCGUCACUUCUAUUCUUGCAAGUGGAAAUUUCCCAUAAAUAUUUUCUCUGAAAAGAAAGAAGUAAUGUUCGUUGCUUACCGGUGAUAACAUGACAGAGUUGGUGGAAAUACUCGAGCAGGGGCUAGUGCGUUCGGGUCAAAGCUGGAGGUCUGAGGUUAAUUUUUCUGUGUCACAAGUUCUCUAACUUAUGGCCUCUUCCAGAUUGCGUAUCUAUGUUUUUCUCUUUGUAAUACACUAUUUUGCUCUCACAAUUGCCCAGCUAGAACUUCAGUACCAUGAGUGUUAUAUCAACAACGGUAACUACAUCACCAACAGUACUUACGAGGCAAAUCUCAAUCGCCUACUCAAUUCUCUCACGGAAAACCCUCGCAUAAACUAUGGAUUUUACAAUGUCUCCUAUGGCCAAAAUCCUGAUAAAGUUUACGCGAUUGCACUUUGUAGACCGGACAUGGAGCCUAGCAGUUGUAGUGAUUGUAUAAAUGUGGCGAGAAAAAAUCUGACGUCUUUAUGUCCCAACAAAGUCACGGCCAUCGGAGGAUAUGAUGAUAGAGGGUACAAUAAUUGUAUGCUGCGUUAUGCUAACUACGACAUAUUUGGCUUAAUGGAAAAUGCUCCUUAUUUUUUCGUUUAUGCUGAAAGUAACAUCACGGAAAAUCUAAUUGAGUUCAAUCAGACGCGGCAGAGGUUGUUGGAAAGGCUAUUUAGUGAAGCUGCAGCCCGUCCUUCUCCAAAUAAGUAUGCCACCGGAAAAGAAGCAGUUUCGGACAUUGUAACAAUGUAUGCACUUGUGCAGUGUACGCCUGACCUAUCCGAAGCUGAUUGCAAGGAAUGCCUGCAUGAUACUACUAAACUAAUGUCAAAAUGUUGUGAUAGAAGACAAGGGGGAAGAGUCAUUAACCCAAGCUGUAGUUUUAGAUAUGAGACUAACAAAUUCUUCAAGCCUUCGAUUGCAGGACCACCGGGCUCCCCUGAUCCAGUAACACCGGAACCACCACCCAGUGAGUUCCUCUUAAACUUGCCCUCUUGAUAUUUCUAAACUUAAUCCAAUUUCGGUUACCCAACAGGAUUUUAAUCAGACAAAACUUUUGAAAAUUGCAGGAAAAAAGAACCACACUAUACUUAUAACUGUCAUUGUCUCGGUUGUCGCUUCUGUGAUACUUAUUACAGGCAUCUGCAUCUUUUUGAGAGUGAGGAAAUUAAAGUUGGAAGAUGAAAGUAAGUUCACAUAGGACAGGGCAAACCCUGAGAUAGAUUUCCUUGUUUUUAACAGUCUUCUGAAUUUUGAUUUUUCAUUAGAAACUUCUUCAGUACAAUUGCUUCCCCCCCCCCCCCCCCCUCCUUCCUUCUUCUAGUUGUAGCUCUUAUGCUUUCAGACUUAACUUUUACUCUUUUCCUUAUGGUUGAAACAUUGCUUUUGUAAAGAUGUGGAAGAAACCAUUGCAAAGUCAUUGCAGUUUGACUUUGAAACCAUAAGAGUUGCAACAGAUAACUUCUCUGAUGCUAAUAAGCUUGGGCAAGGUGGAUUUGGUGCUGUGUACAAGGUAAGAAGUACAUGUACAUAGAUACAUUGUUUAAUCCAAAACUAUGAUUUCCUUAAUAAGUGGCGAAAACUCUUAUUGAUUUCCAACAGGGAAUGCUUUUGAAUGGGGAAACAAUAGCUGUGAAGAGACUGUCUAAGAAUUCUAAACAAGGAGAAAUAGAGUUUAAGAAUGAGGUCCUAUUGCUGGCCAGGCUUCAGCACAGGAAUUUAGUGAGGCUCCUAGGCUUUUGUUUGGAACGCAAAGAAAGGAUUUUAGUCUACGAGUUUGUGCCUAAUGCCAGCCUUGAUCACUUCAUAUUCGGUAUGUUUACGCUUCUUUAUAGUUUAGAAUGAAUUUCUAGUCAUUCCAUUCUGAAAGCAGUUCUACAAGAUUUAGCUGCAACUUUUUGUAUCGUACAAAAACAUUUCUGACCUUCUCAGCAAUCUCAAUGAUCCAGAUUUACAGAUGUGCAUAUGCAAUGACGUAGUGUGAAUCUAUAAUUCUGUAACUACUCACUCUUCCAUACUCUUCUAACACACUCUGUAGAUCCAAUAAACCGUGAACAUAUGACCUGGGAAAAGCGUUACAAAAUAAUCGAAGGCAUUGCUCGAGGGCUUCUUUACCUUCAUGAAGAUUCUAGACUUCGGAUUAUUCACCGUGAUCUCAAAGCUAGCAACAUUCUGUUAGACUCAGAGAUGAAUCCUAAAAUUUCAGAUUUUGGCAUGGCAAGAUUAUUCGAAAUGGAUCAAACCCAUAGUGAUACAAACAGAGUCGUGGGGACCUUGUAAGUUCUGUAAAAAGGAUACAUUAUAACACAAUCCUCCUGGUAGAUUUCAUUUUCUAGAUGUCUUAUAUUACAACAUAUACGCUUCUUGAUAAUUGAAAGAUUUCUAACUUGGAUUGAAGAGCUCAAUUAUCUCAAUCAAUGAAAUUAAAAUAGACUUCUCUGAUUAUUAUAUGCAGUGGGUAUAUGGCUCCAGAGUAUGUGAUGCAUGGGCGCUUCUCAGUAAAGUCAGACAUCUUUAGCUUUGGGGUUCUGGUUUUGGAAAUUGUGAGUGGUCAGAAGAGAAGUAGUUUUGGCACUGAAGAGGAAACAGAGGAUCUUCUAACCUAUGUAAAUCCAAAAUGAAUGGCAGUAUUUCUCAAAUUUCCAUUGGCUUUGAACUAGAAUUGCGCAUAAAAUGGCAUAUGUACUUUGUUGUAUGCAGGCAUGGAGAAACUGGAAUGAAGGGGCAGCUUUAAAUCUGAUGGAUCCAACCAUGACGGGUGGCUCAACAAGUGAAAUGAUGAAAUGCAUCCACAUUGGGUUGCUAUGCGUUCAGGAGAAUGUAUCAAAUAGACCAGGCAUGGCUUUAGUUGUUAACAUGCUUAAUGGCGACACUGUUACUAUACCAGCACCAUCAAAACCUGCAUUUUUUAUGAAGUGUUCGGUCAUUCCAGAGACGUCAUCACCUUUAGACGUCAUCACCGGAUCAACUGAAUCCGGUGGACAGGGAAUUGGAAAUGUCCCAUUAUCAAAAAAUGAAGCUUCAAUCACCGAGCUGUCUCCUAGAUAGUGUUAUUAAUGAGAUGAAAUUAUUCAUCAUUUUUGUGCUGCUAUUUAUUCGUACUCCAAAGUACACUAUUAGCACAGACAGGGCAAACGCAUUGGGAACUGUCAACAAUCAUUAUCUUCCUGAUGGGAAAAGAAAUACAAAUAAACCCUGAAAUUUAUAUAUCAUUGACUUAUUUGUUGUUUAAUGUUUAUGUGUUUUGAGUCUUUUGAUCUCCCUCGUCCAACCGCAGAGCAGUUCCAAUUCCAUUAAAUGAAUUUGAAACUUAAGAUAGCCGCCGCAUAACGAAUAGGACAGGCAAAAUUUGACCAGAGGUUCUCAGAUGUACAACAUAUAACAAGGCGAUGCAAUGAUUAGGAGGUAACAAUAUUUUUAAAGAAUAAGGCAAAUAAGCUGUGUUGAACCCGUUUUUGUUGUGAUAUCUAUUGCCGGUUUACCAAAUUAGUGCACUACUGUUUUCUUUUGCAUGUAGUAAACUUUCAUAUAUAAAAUUUGUUUCUCUUUCUCUUUCUGUUUCAACGUUAUCAAAAGAAUUUCAAAGAAUAUAAUUGUCAAAUUAACAAGUCCGUCAGCUAAUGUAACACCCCAAAAAUUUACCCACGAAAGCACAAGGAUAAAAUUAAAAUGAAACAUCACAUCGUUUAUUCUUAUUAAUAAGCUUCAAGAUAAGCAAUCAUUAUUCAUACUUCAACUGAAUCCUUACAUAAAACAUCUGAGAUAAAAUCUCCAAAGAAAAGUCUCUAAUCCAAAAUAAAAAGUCUUGCCAAAUUUAUUUUUUAAAGCAACUCCAAAGAUACACUAAAAAAAAAUCUUCACCUAAGUACCCAAGCCACAUCUCUAAUCAAUCUACAAAACUUUGGAGACGAGAGGUGAGCCGUCAACUCAGCAAGCAAAUCCAUGCACAAUAUUUGAAAAUCUUUUUCAUUAUACCUUUAAAUAAUUUAAUAUAAUCUUAUAAUAACAUUUUCAUUUAGCAUAAGGGAUGGAUUCGUGUAAGAGCAUUAAAAACAUUAAAACAUAAAUAUUUGGUAGCUCAUACCUCGUAGUCAUCAUCAUUCAUUAUUUGGGGUACUAUAUCCCGCAUUAUUCCUCGUUCGGGAUACUACACCCCUCAAUGUUCAUAACAUCAUUGCGCACAAGAUCAUCAUCAUACUAGUAAGGUGGCCAUAGCAUUACAUCACAUCAUAACAUUAGCAUCACAUACAUUAGUACGAACUGCGAGCCAAAACAUUUUUGAAUCCAUCUUACAUCCUUUCAUAAAUAGCAGUUAAAGUCUCUUAAAACAUUUAAAGACCUUUCUUUGAUCAUUUAAUUCU
rnacentral:lncRNA from 1 species